GGCCACCGCCGGGACAUACGUCACCGACACGCUGACCUUGUCGCCCACCAUCGCGGUCAAGGGCUUCCGGUUCGGGUGCAGCCACGCCGUGAGGGGCACCUUCAGUGACCAGACCGCCGGCGUCCUGGCCCUCGGCGGUGGCGCUGGGUCCCUCCUUGCGCAGACCGCGGAGACCUUCGGCAACGCCUUCUCCUACUGCGUCCCGCACCCGAGCUCCGAUGGAUUCCUCUCGCUGGGCGGGCCGGUGGGGAACUCGUCGCAGUUCACGAGCACGCCUCUGAUCAAGAACCAACACGCUCCGACGUUCUACAUCGUCCGCCUGGAGGCAAUCACCGUGGCCGGGAGGCGGCUCGACGUGCCGCCGGCUACGUUCGCCGGUGGUGCGGUGAUGGACUCAGGGGCGGUCGUCACGCAGCUGCCACCGUCGGCAUACGCAGCGCUGCGGGCAGCGUUCAGGAGCGCCAUGACGGCGUAUGGCCCGCUUGCGGAUCCCGUACGCAACCUUGACACGUGCUAUGACUUGACCCGCUUCCCCGAGGUCAAUGUCCCCAAGGUGUCCCUAGUGUUCGCAGGCGGUGCCACCUUGGAGCUCGAGCCGGCGUCCAUCAUGCUGGACGGCUGCCUGGCUUUCACGGCCUCCCCUGGCGGCCACGGCUCCAUCGGAUUCAUCGGCAACGUGCAGCAGCAGACCUACGAGGUUUUGUACGACGUCGGCAGCGGGAGCGUGGGAUUCCGCAGUGGCGCGUGCUGAUGUGGCAAGCUGCAGGCCAACCACGGCCACUUGUACGUGUGAUGCAUGAUUGGCCCCCUAAUAUAUAUCUGGGUCUACAAGCUAGCUUGCUCAUUGGGAUGGAGCUAGUUUGUGAGUAUAAAUAAAUGCAAGAAAGAAGAUUGAUGUAAUACUUAUAUAUGCAUGUAAUUUUAUAUAGUUUUAUAUAUGCAUGUAAUUUUGUUCAACGGUUGUAUGAUUGUAAACCUUAUAAUAUAACCUUACAGAUUGUCAAGGAAUUCAACCGAUAUAAUUACUCUACUUAUUGAUGUGCAAUAAUGUAAUAUGACUAUUAAGAAGCAUUCUGAUUGUGGAGGUGGUUUCGCACUUUUUACUACAACAAAGGUGUUUGAAGGAUUCCUCGGCAGAAACUAGAACGCACUCCUUCAAUAAUUGACGAGCUAAUUGGUUGUUGAACUUCAGACAAAGAUUGUUGGGCAUGAAAGCGGUCACCAGCGGGUUGAUUGGCCUCACCAGCUCAUACGUGUUCAUGAGGCGUGGUUUUUUUCUUUUCUUGAUUAAUAGUAUUUGUUUCUGGAUGCUUGCAUUGUUAGAUUUGGAAGCGUUCCUACUCCUCGAUGAGGAGCCGGGUUGGUUUAUAUUGAACGAGGCAGAACAGCCCUGCCGUGGCUUACAAGAAGAGGAAACUGAUCGCAAGGAUUGGGUUGUAAGGAGGACUCCUAAACAGCUACGCGAGGGAGAGAGAUAGAAUAGAGUUGAGAUUACAAUGCGGAGAUAAACAUGAAUUCUAACACCCUCCCUUAAUCUCAACUAUUCUAUGUUUAGAUUCCUCUUGAACUCAUCAAAUGGUUUUGCUGGUAGUGCCUUGGUGAACCCAUCAGCCACUUGAUCUUUGGAAGGGAUGAACCGUAUCUCAAGUUUCUUUGCUGCAACCCUUUCAGGCACAAAGUGAAAAUCAAUCUCUAUAUGCUUGGUUCUUGCAUGAAACACUGGGUUUGCAGACAAGUAUGUUGGUCCCAAAUUAUCACACCAUAAACAUGAGAUGCGAUUCUGCUUGACCCCCAUUUCAUCCAGUAGUGAUUCAAUCCAAAUGAUUUCUGCAGUGGCAUUAGCUAAGGAUUUAUACUCAGCCUCUGUAUUUGAACUUGAUACAGUGGCUUGUUUCCUACCACUUUAAGAAACAAGAUUAGGCCCAAAGAACACUGCAAAGCCUCCGGUUGAUUUUCUAUCAUCACUGCAACCUGCCCAAUCAGCAUCAGAGAAUGCACUCACAAGAGUAGAAUUAGAGCGUCUAAAAUGCAGUCCUACUCCCAUAGUAUGUUUGACAUAUCUUACAGUUCUCUUAAUAGCUGUCCAAUGUGCAGUAGUGGAUGCAUGCAGAUAUUGACAAACUUUGUUAACAGCAAAUGAGAUAUCUGGGCGAGUAAGAGUCAAGUACUGUAAUGCUCCAACAGUACUUCUAUACUUUGUGCUAUCUUCCUCAUAAAGUGGCUCACCUUCAUAUGCUGAAAGUUUCUCCGAGGAGGACAAUGUGUAGGUACAGGUUUGCAGUUUUUCAUCCCCAUACGAGAUAGAAGCUUGGUAACAUAUUUCUCUUGUUUUAGUACCAUGCCAUCUUGAGUCAUCUUAACUUCAAUGCCUAGAAAGAAGUGCAAAUGUAACAUCCCAAAAUUCUAAAUUUUGGAAUGUUAUAUUAAAUAAUUAAUUAUGAUUGUUUGUUUGUUGUGUGAUUGAUUGUGUGAAAAUGAUUGGAAAUUGAAAACUUUUUGAAAGUUGAAUGAGAGGGAAUAAAAGGACUUUCUCGAAACUUUUCAUCUUGCAUUUUGAUCUUCCUGAAUUCAAAUUCAUUUCAUCACAAAACCCUAGAGUGAAGAUAUUAUGACUUCUUCCAUUUAAAGAAAUUAAAAAAGGGGUUUGAAAAUGAUUUGAAUUCCAUUUGAAACAUUUCGAAUUUAGAAACUUUAAGAGCAUCUCCAGCCGUUCGCCCCCCAGGACGCAUAAAAAUCGCCCCCAGGGGGCGAGCCGGCGAUAUAAUCGGCGCUGGGAGCGGUUUCGCGCCCAGUCGUCGCCCCCAGGCGUCGAUAUUGGCCCACUUAUCCCAUUUCGGCGAAUAAAGGGCCCAUAUGGGCGACAAUAGGCCCAUAUUCCGCGUGGUUUGCCGUUGUUCGGCGUUCAGUUGUCACACCCUAGCUAGUCAUGCAUUAGAGUGUUGCAUCAUGUUUACUCUUUCAUCAGAAACUUGAAAUGGGGAUGACAGAACCCCCAGUCCCCUCUGAAACCAACUAGGGUUACUAAAAUAAUUUUUCAAUGAACCUGAAAUGCCCUUCUAAAAUGCCCAUCAUUUUUGCCUUGGUUCAGAACCUUUGCCAAAAGUGGUGCACAUUUUCCUAGGCCAUCCUAGGGUUUUUGAAUUAAGUCAUAAGUAUUUGAAUUUGGGCAUUUAAAAUUAUAUAAAAUAUUUAAAUGCUCAAAUAUCUCCAAACUAAAAUGUUUCAUGUUGGAAAUAAUCCAACUAUGGACCAGGAGUAGUUUGGUGAUUUUUGGAGUUGCCUAGGUAUUUUAUUUAAUUCAACAAAGUUGCAGAUAUAUUAAAUAAAAACAGAAAACAGAAAAAUAAAUAAAAGGAGUAGACUUACCUGGACCUACCUGCCCAGCCCAGCCGGCCCAGCACUGUGCUGGCCCGUGCCAGCCAGCUGCUUCCCCUUGCCAGAGCAGGCAGGGAGGUGAGCAUGGCGCGCCCGAGCUCGCCACGCACCACCCAGCCUCUCUGCAUCGCCCUGGUCGCCGUUGCGCCGCGUGGAUCGUCUUCUGGUCGUCGCCCCGACCUCGCCGACACCCCAUUCAUUCUCCCCCGGCUCUCCCUCGCUCUCUCCCCCGCCCGACCGAACACCACCGUCGCCGCCGUUCGCCAUAGCCACCGUCUCCGACCACCCCUCGCUCCCCCGACCAGCUCAGAAGCUCCGCCACAACUCCCUCUUCCUCCCCACCGCUCCACAGCUCCCCGGAAGCCCUGCAUUGCCGCCACGUCGCCGUUCCCCUCUUCGGGCUCCGACCACCGCCGCCGUCGAAUUCGCCGUCUCCAGCGCGUCCCCGAGCCCGCUUCGACGCCCACUGCAACCGCGGUGAGCUACGCCACCGUUUCCCCCUCUCCUUCCCCUCGUUCCCUCACCGUAGCUUCCUCCCCACCACGGCCGAACCUCCGCCGUCGCCGAGCUCGCCGUCGACGCAGCUCCGGUGACCAUUUGGUCACCCCGGCGAGUCCAACGGGUUCACAGAACCCCGUAGAGCAUCCCUAGCGCCUCGCCUUGCUCGACUUCGAGCUCCAGCACCGUUCCCGGACUGCUCAACUCACCCAUCCUUCGGGAAAGAUAGUCAAUGUCUUGACCCGAAUAGCCAAGCGACAAUUAUACUCUCUUAACGCCAGCCCCUUGCCAGACCUUGAGGACGUGCCGGUAGUCUGUGACUUCCCGGAUGUCUUUCCAGAAGAAUUGCCAGGUGUUCCACCUGACAGGGAUGUUGAGUUCGUAAUAGACCUCAUCCCCGGAACCGUUCCGAUUGCUAGAAGACCUUAUAAGAUGGCACCCCUAGAACUAGCCGAGCUUAAGAAACAACUCGAUGAAUCCUUGAAAAAGGGUUUCAUCCGCCCUAGUUCAUCUCCGUGGGCUUGCCCCGUCCUAUUCGUCAAGAAGAAGGAUGGUACGGACCGAAUGGUUGUAGAUUACCGACCUGUCAACUUGGUCACAAUCAAGAACAAAUACCCGCUUCCCAGGAUCAACGAUCUGUAUGAUCAGCUCGCUGGAUCCUCAGUCUUCUCCAAGAUGGAUUUGAGGUUGGGAUACCAUCAAAUCAAAAUCAGAAACGGGGACAUUCCUAAAACGGCCUUUGUUACUCGUUAUGGCCAAUACGAGUACACCGUCAUGUCCUUCGGUUUAACCAACGCUCCAGCCACCUUUUCUCGGUUAAUGAACUCAAUCUUCAUGGAGUAUUUGGACAAAUUCGUCAUAGUUUAUCUCGAUGAUAUACUCAUCUACUCCAAGAACGAGGAAGAACAUGCCGAACAUUUAAGGCUAGUGUUGAAGAAACUUCGAGAGCAUCGCCUUUAUGCCAAAUUUUCUAAAUGUGAAUUCUGGUUAUCAGAAGUGACCUAUCUGGGUCAUGUAAUAUCUGGUAAAGGUAUUGCUGUUAACCCUGAGCGAGUUCAAGCCGUCCUUGAUUGGACUCCACCCGAAUCGGUCAAGCAAGUUCGGAGUUUUCUAGGCUUAGCGAGCUAUUGUCGUCGCUUUGUCGAGAACUUCUCCAAAGUUGCUAAACCUCUAACCGAACUCCUCAAGAAAGAUAAGAAGUUCGAAUGGACUCCACAAUGUGAGCACAGCUUUCAGGAACUGAAAAGACGCCUGACUUCUGCUCCCGUGCUGGUACCGCCAGACUUCUCCAAGGACUUCGUUAUCUACUGCGACACCUCGCGACAAGGACUAGGUUGCAUUCUCAUGCAAGAUCGACACGUAAUUGCUUACGCUUCACGGCAAUUGCACCCACAUGAGGAGAAUUAUCCUACUCAUGAUCUAGAGCUUGCAGCCGUAGUCUAUGCACUUAAGACCUGGCGACAUUACCUCCUCGGUAAUCGUUGCGAAAUAUUCACUGAUCACCAAAGUCUGAAGUAUAUUUUCACCCAACCGGAUUUGAAUCUCAGGCAGAGAUGUUGGGUUGAAUUGAUCACAGACUUCGACUUAGGAAUAACCUACACCCCAGGGAAAGCCAACGUCAUGGCUGAUGCGCUAAGUCGUAAAUCUUAUUGUAACAACCUGAUGUUACAACAAAGUCAACCGCUUCUCCAUGAGGAAUUUCGGAAGCUUAACCUUCACAUUGUACCUCAAGGUUUUCUUUCCACCUUGGUGGCAAAACCUACCCUUACGGAUCAAAUUAUCAAAGCACAGAAGGUAGAUCCGGGAAUCUCCCGCAUCAAGAGAAACAUUCAGAAAGGAAUUGCGAAUUGCUUCUCCAUUAAUGAUCAAGGGGUCGUAUACUUCGGGGAUCGACUAGUGGUUCCCAAAGUGCGAAACCUGAGGCGAUUGAUCCUUAAGGAAGCUCAUGAAUCUCCUCUCACCAUUCAUCCCGGUAGUACUAAGAUGUAUCAGGACCUACGCCAGAGGUUCUGGUGGACUAGGAUGAAGAGAGAAAUUGCUCAGUAUAUUGCUAAUUGCGACGUCUGUCAUCGUGUAAAAGCAGAGCAUCAACGGCCUGCUGGCACCCUUCAACCCUUAGCUAUUCCUGAAUGGAAAUGGGAUAAAAUUGGUAUGGAUUUCAUUACCGGGUUUCCCAGGACCAAGAGAGGGAAUAAUGCUAUUUUCGUCGUGGUCGAUCGUCUCUCCGAAGUAGCUCAUUUCUUACCUGUUCGUGAGAGUAUAACCGCUAGUCAGCUGGCAGAUUUGUACAUCUCCCGAAUAGUGUCUCUACAUGGUGUUCCUUUGGAAAUUAACUCGGAUCGAGGAAGUCUUUUCACCUCUCGAUUUUGGGAAAGUUUCCAAAAUGCUAUGGGAACUCGUCUCUUCUUUAGCACCGCUUUCCACCCUCAGUCGAGUGGUCAAGUGGAACGCGUCAACCAAAUUCUAGAAGACAUGCUUCGAGCCUCUGUUAUCUCUUUCGGAAUGGACUGGGAGAAGUGCCUUCCAUUUGCCGAAUUCGCUUACAACAACAGCUAUCAAUCUAGCUUGGGUAAAGCCCCUUUUGAAGUUCUCUAUGGACGACGAUGUCGAACACCCCUUAACUGAUCAGAGACCGGGGAAAGACAAUUCUUUGGCCCGGAUAUGAUUCAGGAAGCAGAAGAACAAGUUCGUAUCGUUCGUGAAAAGUUGAAAACAGCCCAAUCUCGUCAAAAGAGUCAAUAUGACCGAAAACAUAAGGCUAUGACUUUCGAGGUUGACGAGAAGGCUUAUCUUCGGGUCACCCCUCUGAAGGGAACCCAUCGUUUCGGUAUCAAAGGCAAAUUGGCUCCUCGUUACAUUGGACCUUUUCGCAUUCUUGCCAAACGAGGAGAAGUUGCCUACCAGUUGGAACUACCUCCGCACCUCUCCAGAGUUCACGAUGUCUUCCACGUUUCUCAACUCAGGCGUUGCUUCUCGGAUCCUAUCCGUGAAGUGGACCACGAAACGCUUGAUCUCCAAGAUGAUCUUACAUAUCGAGAGUACCCCAUUCGUAUCCUCGAUCAAGCCGAACGUACCACGCGACGUCAUAAUAUCAAGUUUCUCAAGGUUCAAUGGUUGCACCAUUCUGAGGAUGAAGCAACUUGGGAAAGGGAGGAUCGUCUUCGACUCGAGUAUCCCGCCUUCUUCUCGGAGAAACCCAAAUCUCGGGACGAGAUUCUUUUGAGUGGGGGUGAGUUGUCACACCCUAGCUAGUCAUGCAUUAGAGUGUUGCAUCAUGUUUACUCUUUCAUCAGAAACUUGAAAUGGGGAUGACAGAACCCCCAGUCCCCUCUGAAACCAACUAGGGUUUACUAAAAUAAUUUUCAAUGAACCUGAAAUGCCCUUCUAAAAUGCCCAUCAUUUUUGCCUUGGUUCAGAACCUCUGUCAAAAGUGGUGCACAUUUUCCUAGGCCAUCCUAGGGUUUUUGAAUUAAGUCAUAAGUAUUUGAAUUUGGGCAUUUAAAAUUAUAUAAAAUAUUUAAAUGCUCAAAUAUCUCCAAACUAAAAUGUUUCAUGUUGGAAAUAAUCCAACUAUGGACCAGGAGUAGUUUGGUGAUUUUUGGAGUUGCCUAGGUAUUUUAUUUAAUUCAACAAAGUUGCAGAUAUAUUAAAUAAAAACAGAAAACAGAAAAAUAAAUAAAAGGAGUAGACUUACCUGGACCUACCUGCCCAGCCCAGCCGGCCCAGCACUGUGCUGGCCCGUGCCAGCCAGCUGCUUCCCCUUGCCAGAGCAGGCAGGGAGGUGAGCAUGGCGCGCCCGAGCUCGCCACGCACCACCCAGCCUCUCUGCAUCGCCCUGGUCGCCGUUGCGCCGCGUGGAUCAUCUUCUGGUCGUCGCCCCGACCUCGCCGACACCCCAUUCACUCUCCCCCGGCUCUCCCUCGCUCUCUCCCCCGCCCGACCGAACACCACCGUCGCCGCCGUUCGCCAUAGCCACCGUCUCCGACCACCCCUCGCUCCCCCGACCAGUUCAGAAGCUCCGCCACAACUCCCUCUUCCUCCCCACCGCUCCACAGCUCCCCGGAAGCCCUGCAUCGCCGCCACGUCGCCGUUCCCCUCUUCGGGCUCCGACCACCGCCCCCGUCGAAUUCGCCGUCUCCAGCGCGUCCCCGAGCCCGCUUCGACGCCCACUGCAACCGCGGUGAGCUACGCCACCGUUUCCCCCUCUCCUUCCCCUCGUUCCCUCACCGUAGCUUCCUCCCCACCACGGCCGAACCUCCGCCGUCGCCGAGCUCGCCGUCGACGCAGCUCCGGUGACCAUUUGGUCACCCCGGCGAGUCCAACGGGUUCACAGAACCCCGUAGAGCAUCCCUAGCGCCUCGCCUUGCUCGACUUCGAGCUCCAGCACCGUUCCCGUGCACGACCGAACCCCGGCGGCCGCAGCCGAGCUCGCCGCCGUCGACUCCGGCCACCCCGACCCCAACGGGCUCCGCCAAGAGCUGCGGGUUGUCCUCAGCUCCACUCAGGUGGCCUCCGCGAUCCAUUUGGUGGCCGAAACGACCAAAAUCACUUCCGCCGCCGCGUCGGGCUCGCCGGCGACUAAACGCCGGCAGCCGACACUGACUUUGACCACGGGUGGGCCCUGGUUGACUCCCCUGAGUCAAUGACAGGUGGGGCCCAGCCCUGUUAAUUAAACAGGAUUAGUUUUAAUUAAGUUUUAAUUAAAAUAAUCACCCUGACAUGCGGGACCCACUGUCAGGUUUGACCUGGACCAGUUCCGUUGACCUGCUGACGUCACACUGACGUCAGGCUGACGCAGUAAAUUAAUUUCUGGAUUUAAAUUAAAUCAGGAAAUUCCAGAAUAUUAUUUAAACUUCAAAAAUUCAUAACUUUUAUUCUGUAACUCCAAAUUGGACAAAUUAUAUAUGAAAAAUGAUCAGAAAAAUCCAAUCUAUCCAUCUGUACCAUUUUCAUGCAUGAUCAAACAAGUUAAGUUGAUGUUUUAAUCAGAACAAGAAAAGGCACUUUAAAAGGCCAUAUUUGAAUUUGAAAUCUGAAUCUUUGAUUCAAAUUUGUUCAAACCCUUCUGGUUUUUAGUUGCAUUAGCCCAACACACUCAUAUUGCCAUGUUUCAUGCAUGCAUCAUAUUGUUGCAUAUUGUUUGGUGAUGUUUGUGUAUCGAUGUCCUUUGCGACAGGAUCUGUCCCCGAGGAGUAUCGUGAUUACCCUAACGAAGAACCGUAUCCGUGCAACGAACCAUCAGGCAAGCAACCAACCAUUUGAUCAUAUCAAUACAAUCCCAUGUUCUCGCUCCUGCUCUCAUUUACUGCAUUAAGACAACGCGAUUCAAACUGCUGUGUGCUACGGUAGUUGAACCCAUUUCAUCUGCAUGACCUGUCAUUGCCACAGUAACUAGAUGAAACCCACUAGCAUGUGUAGGAGUUGAUUGAGCCAUAUGUAUGUGUUGUUCCUACCUUGCUAUGCCUGCUAUGCUUAGAGUCGUGUCAGGUCUGGUUCAUCUGGGUGAUGGGCUAGAGUGAAAUGAUUAUGUCGGUAAUGAGAGUGGUGUGGUGAACACGAUUUGGUAAAGGUAUCGAUGAGAGGCCAUGUAGGAGUACAUGGUGGGUUGUUUCAUUGAAGCCGACCUUAAGCACUGAGAUCUGUAUGUGUGAUUUAAGAUACAGCUACUACCAUGCAUUGGGCCCUGAAAUAUGACCCCGCUCGACUUCUUAUUCACCCUAGCUCUCUGUCUAGGAGUUGCAAGUAGUUUCUGGUGUUUGUAGCCUACUGGAGGCCGUGGACAGCGCUGACCGUAGGGGUGGGCUGUGAUGCGGUAGGUACGUGGCACGGUGUACCGAAUACCCGUUAGGUAUCUCGGGAACCCUGUUCACAUCGUUCGGGGCCGUAUGGGAAACCUCGGCCGGACUCCCUGCGGAUGGAACCUGAAUAGGCGAUAAACCUGGACUAGAGGCUUAAGUGUUUAGGUAGGUCGUGGUCUACACCCACGUCGGUUUUCGCUUGAAGUCUGCCGAGCACAUGUCGUGUGCAGACGCUAAGUGGUGGAAACAUGUAUGAAGAAGUACACCCCUGCAGGGUUAUCAUAAUCUAUUCGAAUAGCCGCGUCCGUGGUAAAGGACUACUUGGUUGCCUAUACAGUUCAUAGACAAGUAAAUGGAAACUACUAAAAGCCUCAAGAUAAGUGUGAGUGCCGAGGAUGGCUCUUCCGUAGGAAGACGGAGGUGAAUCCUCGGUAGUGUAUUGAAGUGGUGAGUAGUGGACUCGUGUGCGCAAAACUAUUUCAAGUUGGAGUAUCGUAGGUUAGCCUAGCCAAGAGUCAAAGCUGGCUUGCUGCAAUAACUCCACCAACCCUUCUUGAUACUAUGCAUGUAUGUAGGAUCUGAUGUAAGUCUUGCUGAGUACCUUUGUACUCAUGUUGCUAUAAUCUACAUUUUUUACAGAAGACGCUGCAACCCCUUCUGAUGGGUUCUAUGUAGACGUUGACAUCAACGAGUAGGCUAAAGACCCAGGUGGUGACCCUGAGCUUGUGAUGGACCACGUAGUAUAGCUAGGCUUUCCAAGCCUCUUUUAUUUUACUAGUUGUCUGUACCCAGACAAAGUACUUCCGCUGUUGGCUUGUAUGACUGUAUGAUUUGUAUGUUGGGUCGUGAGACCCGUACCUGUGUGUAUGAUAUGUAUGGCUCCCUGAGCCUUAAAUAAAGUACUUGUGUCAUAGAGUCAUGUUGUGAUGCUUCGUUGUAUUUGCACAUAUCGAGCAUAUUGUGUGUAUGAUUGAAAUGCUUGGUAUGUGUGGGAUCUGACUAUCUAGUUGUUUAUCUUUAGUAGCCUCUCUUACCGGGAAAUGUCUCCUAGUGUUACCGCUGAGCCAUGGUAGCUUGCUACUGCUCUGGAACACUUAGGCUGGCCGGCAUAUGUCCUUCUUCGUUCCUGUGUCUGUCCCUUCGGGGAAAUGUCACGCUUUGAGUACCGGAGUCCUGUUAGCCCGCUACAGCCCGGUUUACCGGAGUCCUGCUAGCCCAGUGCUACAGCCCGGACCCACUUGCUGAUGACCGACACGUUCGAAGCUGGGUCAUGGAUGCCUGUCCCUGUAAGUCUGUGCCACUUUGGGUUUACGACUAGUCAUGUCAGCCCGGGCUCUUUAUCAUAUGGAUGCUAGCGACACUAUCAUAUACGUGAGCCAAAAGGCGCAAACGGUCCCGGGAAAAGGUAAGACGACACCCGUGGGGAUACCGUGCGUGAGGCCGCAAAGUGAUAUGAGGUGUUACCAGCUAGAUCGAUGUGACAUCGAGUCGGGGUCCUGACAUCAAUUAUGCACAUAAAUUUUUUAUCACAUAUUUCAUCACAGAAAUAUCAAAUACUUCAACAAAAUAGUACAACAACAAAUAGUUCAAUACAAUUUAUAUAGUUGAAGAAAUAAAAACUCAUAUUCCAUCACACGUCGCGCCCGACGUCACCCUUGAGCCUCCAUAGAUGCUCUAUCAGAUCUUGCUGCACUUGAUGAUGCACCUGUGGGUCUCGGAUCUCCUGACGCAUACUGAGAUAGGCAGUCCAGGUUGCCGGUAGCUGGUGAUCAACUUCGGCUAGAUGACCCUGCCUAUAGUAUGGUUCAGUGUCAAACACUGGGUCUUCUUGCUCGUUCUCGAUGAUCAUGUUGUGCAAGAUGACACAGCAAGUCAUAAUCUCCCACAUUUGAUCUUUCGACCAGGUCUGAGCGGGGUACCGGACAACAGCAAAUCGAGAUUGGAGCAUACCAAAUGCCCUCUCGACAUCCUUCCUGUAAGCCUCCUGAACCUUCGCAAACCAGCCGUUCUUGCCUCCUGGCACAGGGUUUGAGAUCGUCUUCACAAAUGUCGACCAUCUCGGAUAGAUGCCAUCAGCUAGAUAGUACCCCUUGUUGUAGUGCCGCCCAUUGAUCUCGAAGUUCACCGGAGGAGAAUGACCUUCAACAAGCUUGGCAAAGACAGGAGAGCACUGCAGCACGUUGAUGUCAUUGUGAGUUCCUGGCAUACCAAAGAAGGAGUGACAAAUGCAGAGGUCCUGUGUGGCCACCGCCUCAAGUACCACACUGCAACCGUCUUUGGCGCCUUUGUACAUCCCCUGCCAAGCAAAUGGGCAAUUCUUCCAUUUCCAAUGCAUGCAGUCGACUCUUCCAAGCAUCCCAGGAAAUCCUCUUGCUGCAUUCUGUGCUAGGAUCCGAGAAGUGUCUUCCGCAUUGGGUGUUCUCAAGUAUUGCGGUCCAAACACGGCCACCAUUGUCCGAAAGAACUUGUAGAAACACUCUAUGCUGGUGGACUCGGCCAUGUGCCCAUAGUCGUCGAGUGAAUCACCGGGAGCUCCGUAUGCAAGCAUCCUCAUCGCUGUCGUGCACUUCUGAAUGGAGGUGAAUCCAAGGGCGCCGGUGCAAUCCAUCUUGCACUUGAAGUAGUUGUCGAACUCCCGGAUGGAAUUCACAAUCCUGAGGAAGAGCUUUCGGCUCAUCCGAUAACCGCGCCGAAAUGUUUUCUCGCCGUGAAGUGGAGCAUCGGCGAAGUAGUCGGAGUAGAGCAUGCAGUAGCCUUCGAGACGAUGCCGGUUCAUUGCUUUCACCCGCCCCGGCGCCGAGCCACCUCGCUGCGGCUUUUCAUUGCUCGCCAGCAGCUGGGCAAGGGCGGCGAGCAACAUGAGAUGCUCUUCUUCCUGGACAUCGGCCUCGGCUUCCUCCUCCAACAGCGCGGCGAGCGCUUCCUCAUCAUCCGAGUCCAUCGCCGAGGCAGGCAAAUCGCCGAACACCUUGCGCCCGGUGGGCGUGUACCCGCCGCUAAACUGCCCCUCUGCGGCCGGAAACACCCAGCUGCUGUUGGAGGGGCUGCCGCGGUGAAGCUCUGCUAUUUUUUCGGCGGGGAAUGGCUAUCUAGCGGUGAAGGGCGGCAGGCGGCGUCAGGAUAUAGCUAGUGGCGGCCGAGGGCGCGGGGGUGGGAGGCGAGUCGGGGAAGAAAACCUUAACUUUUCCCCUGCUGGUGUGGGCCAGCCGCGCUUUUCCCUUGCGCCGGGGCUCCCAAUUGCCCCUAGUGCGCCGGGUUUGGCCUGUGACCGCCGAGCGGAAAAAAGGGCCGAACCGGCAAUUUUCGGCGUCCUGGGGGCGCGAGUGGGGAAUUUUUUUGGCGCCGGCGGCGAAAAAGUGGCCUGGGGGGCCUGUUGGGGGCGCGGCCGGAGAUGCUCUAAGCAAUUCAAUGAGUUCAUGAGGGAAGAUAAAAUGACUUCUUCAAAUCAAAGGAAGAGAGUUGGAAGUUUCAAAGGAAUAAUUUGAAGACACUUUGAAGUUAUUUGAAACUCAUUUUUCCAUUUGAAGUUGUUUGAAAUUCCAAAUUUCAAAUCCUCUUGGGAGUUAUUUAGGUUUAAUUCAAAUUAUUUUUCUCCAAAAAAUAAAUAGAUGGAAAUAAGGGUAAAAUGAUUCCCUUCAAUAGAAAAUUAGGAGAAAAUAUAUUUGAAAUCAUUUUGCUAUUUUAAAAACGAUUUUUAUUGAUUUUAAAUGCAAUAGUAGCACUAUUUGACUUUUAUGAAUUUUUAUGGAAUUUAGUUGAACUUGAAAAAUAAUUCAUCUUAUUGCUGCUAUUUUUCUGAGCAUUUUGGUAUAUAAUAUUCCUACGUAAUUUUUUUAGUUAUCUUCCUAUGUUGAAGGUUUUGUUUCUGCAAAAAAAAACACGCGCCCGCCAGCCAGCCCAGGGUCUUCGGCCCAAGAGCCAGCCAGCACACCAAGCCGGCCCAGCAGCGCCCCAGGCCGCUCGAGGCCUCUUGCCUCGUUCUCCCAGGCCCCUCUUCCCUCGCUCGCUCUCUCCCACCGCCGCUGCUAGUGGGGCCCGCAACCCUUCGUCCCUAACUUCCCGCUCCUCCCGUUGAUAUAGAGCACGUUGAUAUAGAGCACGCGUGUGCCGCCCGCAACUGCCGGCUGCUCUGCUCGGGAUAGAGCUCAUCCCCAGUGUCCGCAGCCUCUUCUCGCGCCUAUAAAUUCCCCCGACUCCCCUCGUUCGAUUUUGCCACUCCGCAACGACCCACGCCACUCACAGCCGCCGCCUUCGUCGUUUGGAUCUCGCCCGUCGGAGCUACCUGGCCGGUCCGUUCCCCCGUCCGUAAGACUGCCUCGACCCGUUCUUCUUUGUCAAUUGACUCCCCGCGUCAAGGCGCAUCUGAUUGACAAAAAAUUGCCGCCUUGGUCGUACCAGAGACGACGCCCCGACGCGCCGCGCUCUCGCCGGAGCACCGGAGCUCCGCCGCCUCCCUCCGCUCGUCGCUGGCCACCCCACCGCCCGCCGACCCCACCAGCACGCCGCCCACGCCGCGCCCGACCUCCCCGACCCCUUCGUCGCCGCUGCCCACUGAGGACCGCCGGAGACGCCCCCGUGUCCGCCGUCCGCCGCCUGACGCUAGCGCUGCCGCCCCUGUUCGCCGUCCUCGCUCGCUGUGAGCCGCUGACCCUCAGUCAUUUUUGUUGUUGUUGUAUUAGAUCGGGUAACCGUGGUUUUAUUAAACCGUGCAGUUUAGUAAAAAACCGGUCUCCGGUUUUCUUUUUAUUUAGCCGCGGUAGCCGUUUUAUUUAUUCAGUGGCCGUCCGCCGUUUAGCCUGAGCCGCGAACGCUUCUCAGCCACCCGGAAGCCGCCACGUGGCCAGGGACCUGGUCACGAAUAAAACUUUCACAAUUAAGACCCUUAGAUUUCAGUUUAGCCCCUAAACUUCGAAUGGUUGUAUCUUUUUAACCGUAACUGCAAAUUCGACGAAACCAGCAGCAAAAUGUUCAUGUCCAAUAGUUUUAUCCAGAGAACCAACUUUGAAAACUUUUGGACAAAUUCAAAUUUGAACUUUAUUCAGAUUUGAAUUCAAACUUCAACUGGCCAUAUCUCUUAAACCGUAGCUCCGAUUGGUGUGAUUCUUUUUGCAACGUGUCAUCGUAGCCAAACCCUACCACCUAGACCUUGUCACAAUCUGUCUAUGAUAGUUUUACUAUUAUGCCAUGUAUGGACUUUAGUACACAUCACAGUUUUGAACCCCAUGUCACAAGUUGUUUUGCACUUAGGAUAUUUCCAUGCUAGUUAACUGUGUUGAAUAUUCAUUUGGUUUUUCUGAGACUUUGUGCUUUGCAUGUUCUUCUUGGUUCUCUGAAACGAUUGCUUAUGUGAGUGCAAUGUUUGACUUUAUAGAUUUUCAUCGGAGAGUGAAGAAUAGUUCUAUUAAAUAAAUUUCUGAGAGCGAUAUAAUCUUCAUCAACUAUUACCAGGCAAGUUCACAUUUGACCAUUUUUCCAAUUACCUAUGUUUAUAUUAUGCACUUAGUCCUUUUGUGGUAGGAUUGCAUGGUAGGAUUUAUUGUUACCAGAUGGCUAUGCCGUUACCUAGUAGUUCAUUUAAGGUAGGUAUGAUCUAUACAUCCUUGUCACCACCGUGUAAGUUUAUUUUUGCCUCACUAAAUGUAGACGUGGUUUGGGAAGCGAACAUGGCGAGACAUGAGUGACAAAGUAGUAAUCAGGACCAAGACUUGUAAAUGAACUACCUGGGCGGUAUUUUGUUUGAAUGGUGGCGAAGUACAGUGGGAGCAUGCAUGGUUAAUCCAUGGUGGUGCACCACUAGUGGUUGGCCGCUUAGGCUCAAAGAGAUCAAUAGUAUUCUCAUGUCUAGAAGCUUAAGUGUGCAGCCACAAACCAAUAUGGGCUCUAGCUUAGUUGAGUAGUUAGUGUGACCCAUUCCGGGAUGGGCUAGCAGAUGUAGAAUGAUGUAGGUGUACCGGCCUAUCCAUGGGUUAAGGGGUGACAUUUUUGAAAGAGUAUGUCUCGGUCAUCCUGUUCUCAAACGCCAGGCAGUGCGAGAACUCCAGGGGAGGCGAUCGAGUCUUGUGGGGAAAAGUGCGCAAACCUCUGUAGAGUGUUUUUUUUGAACUUGACAGUGGGAGAGAACUCCCACUGUAUAUUUUCACAUAUCUAUAUAAAUGGGGUGUUUACAUAGACAUACCACUCACACACAUCCAGCUCCACUCUUGGUGGAACCACCAGGGGUGGGGCAACUACACCAUGGUCACUGCUAUACACUUGUCUCUAAGUAUUUAAAGAGGGAAGAAUAAAACACAGUAUGUCUCAGCUAAGUGUGCCACAGUAUGAAAGCAGGGCAGCUCUACGUGUACCCUGAACUCUAUGUUGCAGAAGUCCCAAGUCCUCUUUGAAUCGAUGGAACCAAGAUGCAAUGCUUGGGGUUACACCUCUGAAGUGUUUAUUGUUUCUUUCCUUCCACAAACUCCAGGUAGUAGUGAAAAAUGCUUCAAUGAAGAAAGGAUUGGGCCAGUUGGGUUGUGCGUUUUGCAACGCAUCAAACCUAUUUUGAAAAUCAAUCCAGUGAACACCUAUCUUGGCCCAACACCUUUCGCUGAACUGGCAGGUGAAGAUCAUAUGCUCGAGAGUCUCAUCUGCAUUUUGCCCACAAAGGAGACAUGUGAUGUCAUUCCCAAUGUCAUAGUGUCUUCUUCUCAGCAUGUCACAUGUGUUCAACCUGUCGUGCAGCAACAACCAUCCAAAUACUUUGAUUUUCAUCAUACAGUUUGAUUUCCAAAGGAGCGGGAAGAUGGGAUGAGCUGUUGCAUCACGGGAGAAGUUGUUAUAGUAGUCUUUUGGCUUGUACCCAGCUGCCCCCCAAGCAUAGAGCCAAACAUCAGAUAUUGUUGUGGAUGGGUGUAUGCGGAAUGCUGCAUGUUGGACAUCUUGCACCUCGUUGAGCGCACGAGCAGAUAGCGGUAGGUGAAAGGUUUCAUGCAGUUCAGUGUUGGCCCAGAAGUCAGCGACCGUCAUGUCUUCCUGCAGAGCAAAUGAAAAGGCACGCGGGUGCGAUGUUUGUAGCACAUCAUUUGACCACAAGUCUUUCCAGAGCAGCGUAGUCGAGCCAUCAACUACUUGGACACGAGUGAUCCCUCGGUAGAUGGGCGUUAAUUUGAGAAUGUCUUUCCACCAGAAAGAACCGACUAGAUCAACCGCAUGAGGCACCUGGUUAGCAUACUGAUUAUCCCAAAGCAUAGUAACCCAUGGUACGUCCAGUUUGUUAUAGAACUUGUGGAGAAAUUUUAGCAGGAGGGCUUCGUUGUAGAUUGUAAUGUUGAUCACUCCUAACCCACAUUUACACUUGGGCUUGCACACUAGUUCCCAAGCCGCAAGCGAAUUACAUUUGUCACCUUGGUCGGUUUUCUUUGUCCAGAGACAUCUCCUUCUAAUCUUGUCAAGAAUUUCAAUUAGAUUCGGAGGGAACUUGAGCGUGCACAUGGCAAACACCAGAAGGGAUGUGACCGAUGCAUUGAGCCAGGAGAGGCGGCCCCCAUAGGACAUCAUAGCGAUCGUGGCAGUGAGACGAUGCUCCAUUUUGCAAACUAGAGGCAUGAAUUCUUGAAUGGUUGGUCUUGUAGUGCCAAGUGGCAGGCCAAGGUAGGUGAAAGGCAUUGUACCUAUAGUGCAGCCAAAAAUGGCAGCAAGGCUAGAGGUUGCACUUGCGUCCAGGUUGAUUGGUAUGAGCGUCGACUUGUGAAAGUUAAUUUUGAGGCCAAUAGAGGAUGCAUAGUCAGAGAGAAUGUUCUUGACACGGGCAGCCUGUUGUGGGCAAGCAGGCAAGACAAGGAGGGUGUCGUCCGCAUAUUGGAUCACUGGGUAAUCAUUUUGCCCAUUGCAUGGAAAAGGCAGGCUGAUAUCUCCACGUCGAUAAGCAUCAUUGCCGUGGCUUGAAGUAGUUCAGCUGCCAGGACGAAAAUGAGGGGGGACAGAGGAUCACCUUGCCGCACACCGCAUCGACAAAGGAACUGUCGGCCUGGGACCCCAUUAAGAAGUUUGGACGAGCGACCCGAGGAGAAGAGGCACUUGAUCCAGGAGAUCCACUUGUCACUGAAACCCAUCUGCUGCAUAAUGCAAAUCAUUGGUUCAUGCGUGAUGGUAUCGAAUGCUUUGGCGAAAUCAAGUUUAAGAAUAAUGAUUGGCCGGCCCAAGUUUUGACAGUGAUAAAGAUAUUGAUAAUCUCAUGCCAGACAAUUCUGUAUAGUAUGCCCUUUAAUGAACCCAUACUGAUUCCGGUGAAUGAGGGUGAGAAUGACAAGUUGAAGUCUGUCUGCUAGCAGUUUGGUAAUCAACUUGAGGCAGCAGUUGAGCAAUGUAAUGAGUCUGAAAUCAUUGACUGUUUCUGGAGAGUUAGUCUUAGGUAUAAGUGUGAUAAGACCAUCAUUGAUACUUGUGACAUCUAACGUACCUGCAUAGAACUGAUCACAUAGGGUGUAAAAGUCAUGUCGAAUGAUGGGCCAGCAGGCUUUCAAAAACGCCCCACUAAAGCCAUCUGGGCCAGGUGCGUGGUCCGGAGGCAUACCUUUGACCACAUUAUCGAUUUCCUCAUGUGAAAAAGGCGUGGUAAGUUGGUCAAGAUUUGUAGCGCGGGGGAUAAUGUUUGGAAGAUCAAAUUUCAUGUCUGAAGGGGAGACCGUACCCAGGCGGUUUUUGUAAGUUUGAAACAAGAGGGCCUCUUUUGCAGGAUGAUUGUCGACCAAUGUGCCAUCCUCAAGCUUGAGUGAGGAGAUAUUGUUUUGUCGAUAACGUUCCCUGGCCACUGCUUGGAAAAACUUGGAGUUUUCAUCGCCAAACUUGAUCCAACGAAUAGUACAACGCUUCUUCCAAUAAAGUUUUUGAUAUUUGAGCAGUCUCAGCAAGUGUGACUUUAGGAUACGUUUGAAGUUCAUUUUUGGAAUUGAAAGGAUUCGUUUAUUCUGCCAGGACAUGGUUACAGUUCGUGAUGGCCACUAAUAGACGAGAAAUAUUCUUACUCCAGAUUUUGAGAGUGUGUCGAAGAGCUUUGAAUUUUCAGCAAAGGAUUGUGGCAGCAUUUGCGUUCCAAACUGGCCAUUCCCAAACCUCUCUAACUAUGUCCAUAAACCCUGGGUGUAAGGUCCAGUAGGAUUCAAAACGAAAGAGCUUGGAUCGGGGGAUUUUGGUCUCUAUGGUGACAACGCAAGGGAUGUGAUCAGAAACGGGCUUGCCAAGGGGUUUAACGAGCAUCUUAGGAUAUGCGUUACUCCAAUGCAAGGAUGUGGAGAACCAGUCAAUCUGUUCAAGCAAAGGAUCGGUCUGCAUAUUGCUCCAAGUGUAGGUUCUACCUUUUACCGGAAGCUCAAUCAGUUGCUGCUGACGAAUGAUGUCAUUGAACGUAAUCAUGUCGUGAAUGUUACCCCCAGGUUUAUUAUGAUUGUCUGGAGCUCUCAUGUAGUUAAAGUCGCCCAAAAGUAACCAGUCUUGGUUACGGGGUAUUUGAACAUCGUACAACCAUUGCGUGAAAACAUCCCUGUCUGUACCAGUGCAAGGCCCGUACACGUUAACUAACGUCCAAUGUUGAGAGGAUUGCGUGCUAACGAACUCGAUGGCUAGCGCAAAUGGAUCAGACGAGAGUACUGAACCAGAGAAAACCGAGCUUUUCCAGAUUGUAAGUAACCCCCAGAGGCGCCGCGCGAAGGGACAAAAGCAAAACGAUCAAAUUGUCUAGGACAGCAAGUUUUAAUAGAAGCAAAAGUAACCUCAGGCAUCUUAGUCUCCUAAGGACAAGCGAUAGCAAAACCACUGGUAGAGAUAGCAUUAUUCAGAGCCAGUCGCUUCUUCUCAGAAUUGAGCCCACGGAUAUUCCAUGAGAGCACAUUCCAGCAGCUCAACGACGUCAUAUAGAACUCCAAUAUUAAGCAGAGGUGUGAGAGAGAUCCUCUCCCUGGUCAUCACUAUUAAUCGAAGAGGCAAAAGAUUCGGGCACGGCAGCAGUUUCAGCAAGCAGGGCUUCUUUAGAAAGUUCAGUAGCAGGUAUAGCACAUCUGUUAACUCCAAUGGAUUGUAGAGUAACUAUAGGAGUUGGGGGCGGGACCUCACCAGCAGAAGUAGCAGCAGAUGCUGAUGUGCCAAUAGACGGGAUGACACGGGGCUUAACUUUGGAAUUGUUCUUGCGACUGUCAGAGAGGGGAGGAACCUUGACCCCAUCAUACGUGUUGGAGCGGAGACUGCGGCGCACUUCAGUUGUGGAGAUAGGGGCAGCAGCCCUGGUCCUACGGGGGCGCGGGCCAGUGGUGGCCAUAGAAGCAGUUGCCUCUGAGAUCACAGAAGGUUCUGAAGGUGGAAUGUGCACAACUUGUUCUGUGUCCAUUGGGGCGUCUUCAGUGUUGGGCGGCAUGGCGGGCUCAAUGGCGUUUUCCACACUAGCAUGUUCAGAUAGGUCCUCAAUGAUCACAGCGGAGGCAGCCAAAGCAGAAGUAGAGCUUGAUUGCUGGGAAAAGGUCAGACUAGUAGAAUCCUGUGUGAUCAAGACAGACAACUGAACCUGGUUUGUUCUCAGACCAAACCCCUCUAUCCAAGGUCCAAAAGUUGCAAGCAUUGGGCUAACAGCUUGGAAGAUGAAUGUGUUAAGAUUCAGGCGUGGGAUUGGGUCAUUCAGCAGCCUGGAAAGGAUCUCAUCUCCUUGAGCAGAUAAACCAAAUCUGACACCUUGAUCAUUGAUCUCCAGUGUGAUGUUAAGAGAUUCAAAGCUUGCACUGUCAGACAGCUGUAUAGCUGGAUCAGCCGGGAUGAGAAUGUCAGACUGGGUCAAGCUUGAACUGUCAAACUGGGUGAUCGAAUCAUUCCAAGCUUGGAGAGCAUUAUCAGUGACAUUGUUUUCAGGGACUAACCCAUGUUGCACAGUCAGACCCUGCGCAGCAAGCCAGGCUUGUUAGUUCACCAAAUGGAGCGGCAUUUGCGGGAGUGGAGGAGCAGCGGGCGCCUCCCAAGUGCCCCAUCCAGUGUUGUCAUCCACUUGUUGAGCCUCAUUGUUGCCAGCUGCGGGUGCACCAUUCUGAAUGAGCCAAUUGUGAACUUGCUGCUGAUAUAACUGUUCUGCAGUGAGUUCAGGGCCAAACUGUGGAUGUGGGUUGCCAUCGGGGGGUGGCAUUUCCUCAGGUGCAGCAGGUACAUCAGGGAGGAGGCCAUUCCAGUCGUUGCUGCGACGGAUGGUCACUACUACUGUCCAACUGUCGUGCGCACCACCCAGCUGCCAUACCACAAAGCUCUUGGGGAUGAGGCGCAGACUAAGUACUCUGACUUUUAGAAGGAUGAAUCUGCGGUCCUGACGCGGAUUAUACCAGGAAACUAAGGAACCAUAUCCACCCAAGGCCUUAGUGAUGUAAUAGUCCAUUUGGUAGUCAUACGGAAAGCCGAAGAACAUAAUCCAAAUCUCAGGCCCAAACGGUGCAGCUCUACGAUUAAGAGCCGCAUUGUGCGAAACGAAGGUGAUCAACAGAUCUUCAUCUUCAAGCUCAAGCGGUGUGUUGACAGCAUUAUCUCUCAUAAAGGAAUCCACAAAACCAAAAAUCCCAACACCAAGGGGGUGAUCCGAUGGCGGACGGUGGCCCGGCGAUGCAGGGGCAGAUACUCACUGGCUUCUGCAAUGGCCAGGAACUCAUGGCUGAGUGGAGCAAUCGGGCCAACGACCAUGCCGCUGCGCACAAGACUAUCGGCCGGCCCUGGCUCAGCGGCAAAACCCGGCGGGAGGAAAGGCACAGGGUUCAGUGGGUAGUUCGCCAUUGUGGUGGAAGGGAUCAGAGGGGAGGACGGUGGUGCGGAGAUGGGAUGCAACUGCAAUGGCGCAAGCUGCAGCAAAGCGUCAGACUGUGGCGAUGGGACUGGACGGGAUGUGGCCCAUUGGGUUCUCGAGGCGGAAGCUGAAGCGUGAAUGGGGGCGGUAGAAGGCAAAGUUGCCUUUGCAACCUCUGUAGAGUGUUAAAACCUAAUCGAUUAACCAUGUCCCCGGUUACGGACAACUUGAGCAUCUAGUAGUGGAAAUGAUGGGAGAUCUCAUCACUCUUAAUUAAACAGUUGGUUUUUAAAUGAAACAUUGGGAAUGGAUUGAGUUGGGUUUGCCAACUCAUCCUAUGCUAUACUGUAGUGAUAGACUAAUGUCUUUUAUUCUAGGGAAAAACUAGCUUUAUGCAAAAACUAAACUUAGAGUUUUCCACCAGCCAAAUUGCAUGUACAAAUAGGUUCAUUAUUCUUAUGAUGUGACUUGCCAGUACAUUCAAUGUACUGACCUAUAGGGCUGCAACGUCUUAUGUUGCAGGAAUUUCUACGACGAGUAAGAAUUAUGUUGUAGGGUUAUCGUCUACACUCAACUUGCCGUUGGCGUUGAUGGGACUCCACACCCGUUCGAUUGUUUCCACUGAGAUUUAUGAGGUAUAUAUCAGUUUUGCGUUAUUUAUACAUUUGAUUGAACUUUGAUAUAUACAUUGAUGUACUGUGUGUGCCAGCAUAUCAAUCCAGGGAUGGCCCGGAUACACAGAGGCUUGACAGUUUGAGCUCGGGUCGCUACAGAGAUGGUAUCAGAGCACAUGUUGACUAUAGGACGUGACCCUAGAAACUGGAAAGCCCUUAGGAAAAGAUUUCUCUAAAAGUUUAUUUUCAAAAAGAUCCUUUACCUCUCUUCAUUUCUGAGCUUUAUCAAAUCUUUCCUUUUACCCCAAAUAGGUAGGCAAUAUCCCUUUUCCCUUUCACCACGCGGAGGAUCAACUGAUGAGACCACUCCGAGAAGGGCAAGAUAUCGGCCAACUGAUGGCCACUUCAAAGUAAAGAGGAUUUCAUCAUGCAUUAGAACAGUUAAUGCUACGACAGUCGAAGACUCGAAGAAUUUGAAGACACUGAAGAAUUCCAAGAUUUAUAUGACCUUUAGAAGACCAAACCCUUGUUGUGUACUCACGUUAGAUGCGAUGAUUUGUGAGCUGUCAUAUUUGGUGUGUGUUUUCCAUUGCAACAAAUAAAACUUAUUUUCAAAAACUAUAUUGUUUGUAUUGUGUGUAUCUUUCUCUAUCCCUCUUAUCUCAUCCCAAAACCCUUGGACCCAAUAGAUGAUGAAUGAAGAUGGACUUGUAUUCUCUGGACCGAUCACUCGGUUAGAGGAAGAGCUAUGGAUUCAAAACAUGGAGAGUCACUUCGAGAGCAAUUUGGUUGCAAGGAAGUAUGAGGUUCAAUAUGCUCUUUAAUACUUUACAAAAAGUGCUACAACAUGGUGGAAAAUGCAUCAAGCCAUACAAGGAUGUAAUGGAGCAAAAACUUGGGAGGAAUUGAAGAAGACUCUGUUGGGAUCCCGUCUUAUCCGGAAGCACGGUGAUAAACUGAUGAAGAAACCUUGUGCCUGCAAGAUAUGUGGAGAAAUAGGACACACCCAUGAAGAACACAAGGAUGGAUGCCCUCAUUAUGAAGGAAAUCACCCAGCAGAAGAGUGCCCAACUAGGCAGGUUACUUGUUUCUUGUGUGAAGGAACUACGCACUACCCUGCCCAGUGUCAUAUUUACCCCAGGGUACAAGAAAUUACCAAGAACCAGAAGGAAGAAGUGAAAGAAGCCCUCAGGGAAAGUUUAAGAAAACUGGUGAUGAAAGAAGAUGUUGACGACCCUGAUGGAGAAAGCCUAAACAGAUUUUACUCCAAUGCUUGCUAUGCAUGUGGAGAAGAAGGACAUUUCUCACAAUAUUGCGUGAAGGAAAACCAAGAGUAUCUGGGAGACUUCCCGAUAGAAGAAGUGGGGUUUGAUCGACAAGAGAUAGAAGAAUUGAUCGGAACGAAGAAGUCGAGGAAGAGAAAGAGCAUGUAUCCCCAGAACAACCCAGUUUCUGCAGAAAAGGACCUGAGUCAUAUCACUUGUUACAGCUGCAAGGAUUUAGCUCAUUAUUCUAGCAAAUGCCCACCAAGGAAGCCAAGAACCCAAGGAACCAAGAUAACCACCAGGAACCCCUGGAUUUGUCUGACGCCAUUUGUUUACGCUGCAAAGGAGUAGGACAUUUUGUCAGAGAAUGUUCAGACCCGAGGAAAGCUUGAGCAGAGUAGUUGAGAUCUUGAUAUUGGAAUAAAGCAUGUAAUAAAUGUGGAACGCACUUUUAUUUUCGUGGGGGGUGUUGAUACGUCUCCAACGUAUCUAUAAUUUUUGAUUGCUCCAUGCUAUAUUAUCUACUGUUUUGGACUAUAUUGGGCUUUAUUUUCCACUUUUAUAUUAUUUUUGGGACUAACCUAUUAACCGGAGGCCCAGCCCAGAAUUACUGUUUUUUUGCCUAUUUCAGUGUUUUGGAUAAACGGAAUAUCAAACGGAGUCCAAACGGAAUAAAAUCUUCGGGAACGUGAUUUUCUCACCGAACGUGAUCCAUGAGACUUGGACCUUGCUCUAAGGAACAAAAGAGGCGGUCACGAGGGUGGGGGGUGCCCCCCCUAGGGCGCGCCCCCCUGCCUCGUGGGCCCCUCGUUGCUCCUCCGGCGUACUUCUUCCUCCUAUAUAUACACAUGUACCCCCAAACGAUCAGAAGAGGAGCCAAAAACCUAAUUCCACCGCCGCAACUUUCUGUAUCAGAAGAGAUCCCAUCUUGGGGCCUGUUCCGGAGCUCUGCCAGAAGAUGGCCGUCAUCACGGAGGGCUUCUACAUCCUCCUAGCCCCUCCGAUGAAGUGUGAGUUGUUUACCUCAGACCUUCGGGUCCAUAGUUAGUAGCUAGAUGGCUUCUUCUCUCUCUUUGAAUCUCAAUACAAAGUUCUCCCCCUCUCUUGUGGAGAUCUAUUCGAUGUAAUCUUCUUUUCGCGGUGUGUUUGUUGAGACCGAUGAAUUGUGGGUUUAUGAUCAAGUCUAUCUAUGAAUAAUAUUUGAAUCUUCUCUGAAUUCUUUUAUGUAUGAUUGGUUAUCUAUGCAACUCUAUUCGAAUUGUCCGUUUGGUUUGGCCAACUAGAUUGGUAGUUCUUGCCAUGGGAGAAGUGCUUAGCUUUGGGUUCGAUCUUGCGGUGUCCUUACCUAGUGACAGAAGGGGCAGCAAGGCACGUAUUGUAUCGUUGCCAUCGAGGAUAACAAGAUGGGGUUUAUUUCAUAUUGCAUGAAUUUAUCUCUCUACAUCAUGUCAUCUUGCUUAAGGCGUUACUCUGUUUUUAACUUAAUACUCUAGAUGCAUGCUGGAUAGCGGUCGAUGAGUGGAGUAAUAGUAGUAGAUGCAGAAUCGUUUCGAUCUACAUGUCACGGACGUGAUGCCUAUAUACAUGAUCAUGCCUAGAUAUUCUCAUAACUAUGCUCAAUUCUGUCAAUUGCUCAAUAGUAAUUUGUUCACCCACCGUAGAAUACUUAUGCUCUUGAGAGAAGCCACUAGUGAAACCUAUGGCCCCCGGGUCUAUUCUCAUCAUAUCAAUCUCCAUCACUUUAAAUCUUGCUUUGUUUUUACUUUGCUUUUACUUUUUAAUUUGCAUCUUUAUACCAAAAAUACCAAAAAUAUUAUAUCUAUCAGAUCUCAUUCUCGUAAGUGACCGUGAAGGGCUUGACAACCCCUAAUCGCGUUGGUUGCGAGUAGCUAUCGCUUUGUGCAGGUACGAGGGACUUGAGCGUGGGCUCCUACUGGAUUGAUACCUUGGUUCUCAAAAACUGAGGGAAAUACUUACGCUACUCUGCUGCAUCAUCCCUUCGUCUUCGGGGAAAACCAACGCUAGCUCAAGAUGUAGCAGGUGUUGAGUUGAGUUACCGAAUGGAAAUUGUAAUAGCUCAUGAAGAAAUAAAAAUUGAGUUGUUUGGAAUCUCAUAUGAAAUGUUAUGAGUUGUUUUUUGAUUGUGAGUGCCUUUCUCACUAUGUCACCCAGACAUAAACCUUGAACCCAUGGACAAGCUGACCCCAAAACCUUCACUAAAAAAACGACAUUUCACCCAAGGAAAUACAUGCAUUAUCCUAAGUACCCCUUCUAUCUUAUACCUGCAGAUGGCAACCCUUUACGAGUCUUUUCUCAAGGGCCCAGAAACGAUCAUGACCCUAACUAGUGAUCAGGAUUACCCAAAGAUCCUCAAGGACAUGAUGAAGCAUAUUCAUCUUGAAGGAGAUGCAGUCUACAAGGGUUAUCCUUUCAUGGAGAAUGGAGUUGAACUUUGGUACGUGGAGGUACACCUCCAUCGUGUGAAGGGAGUUUUCCCAAAGAGUAUGGGGCAAUACUUUUUCAUUUCUCGAGUACCCCGAGCAACAUUCUUCGACUCUGUUCGUGAAACUGCUAUGGAAGCCAUACGUCAGAUAGGAGAAAUACUUGAAGCCAGACUUCGUUAUACUCAGGAAUACCCGAGGGAGGUGCAUGCAAAGAUGAUGGAGAUGAAGCUCAUGGCCACCAUGAUGAAGCAAAAGGUCGAUGAUUUCAAGGACCACAUUGUACAAUUCCAGUGGGACUAAAUUAUCUUCAAGAAGGGCAAAUGAAUAAAGAUGGAAGUAAUGCUUGACCAUAGCAAACUAUGUGGAUGGCAGCUUUUUGUAAUAGAGUACUUUUGAAAUUUGAGUUUUGAGUAGUGGUUAAGGAUGUAAUAAAGGAUUUGAUAUGAAGAGAAUUAUGGAUGAACCAGUGCAUUUUUUGGCGAUACCUGUCUGUGCGAACACUUGACCAAUGGAAAAGGAAAUGUAUUCCAUAGAGUGAAGUUUGGACAAAUGAGUUGGAGUUUGGUUUUAGUUAUGAUGGUUACCCCAAGAGUAUGAAGGAAUGAAGUACUAUUGGAUUUAAAGGAGAUGUAAUGUUGGAAUAUGGAACAAUAGUAACUCCAAGGAUGAGUUAAAGAUAUACAAGUGUUGAAGUGGGCCAUAACCCACAGGACCCAGGAUUUGAUAAGGAAACAAGCACAAUCUUGUUGAAGAAAAUAAUUCUGAAAGAAGCCAUGAUUUCAUCAGCAUACGUUUCAUAGGAGGUUACAUAAACCCAGGAGUUGUGAAUAAACGAUAGAGGUUUUCUUUGGCUUGCAGAACCAAUGGAUUUAUCCGAACCCAGUUCGUGGAGAAGAGAAGUUUUGCAAUGCUUGUGAGGAUGCCCAAGGGCUAGAAUGCGUGAUUCACUAUCUACGUAUGUGGUAAUGAUUCAAGUACGACAUGGAUUGGCCCCCAUACCGGAGACUUCUAUCAUGAGCUAUCAUAUGAUUGAUAGAAAAUCAGAGAGCCUUAAAACCCUAGAAGAGUGUCGACACGACAAGCCAAAAGCCUUAGAAUGGCAGGAUGAUGGAAACCCUGUACAGGCACCUAUUGCCUACCGUAGGUUAUGCGGUGAGGUUCAACCCAGACCCAUUUCCUGUAGGAGGAACCAGAAAUUGUCGACCACCAUCAGGUUUUCGAUAGUUGUUUAGCAUUGGCGCCAGACCUGUCAAGUCUCAGAAGGAUCCUAUUUUGAUGCAAGGAAUCCUGAUAUUGAGGAAAAGGCCAUGCCCUUACCAGAAGAGCAAAAGUGAAGGGGUUAUCUCAGAGAAUAUGAGAAGACCGACACCGUCAACGCAAAGGAUGGAGUUCAUGAGUUUUAUUGGAACUGUAACCAUGCUUCUAAGGGUGGUAGCACCCCAUUCCUUGUGUUGAUGAAUGGAUUUUCAAGGAGAACCCCCAAACCUAACAUUCUUUCUAGCCUCUUCGAAUCUCGAGGACGAUAUUCAUUUUAAGGGUGGUAGUUUGUAACAUCCCAAAAUUCUAAAUUCUGGAAUGUUAUGUUAAAUAAUUAAUUAUGAUUGUUUGUUUGUUGUGUGAUUGAUUGUGUGAAAAUGAUUGGAAAUUGAAAACUUUUUGAAAGUAGAAUGAGAGGGAAUAAAAGGACUUUCCCGAAACUUUUCAUCUUGCAUUUUGAUCUUCCUGAAUUCAAAUUCAUUUCAUCAUAAAACCCUAGAGUGAAGAUAAUAUGACUUCUUCCAUUUAAAGAAAUGAAAAAAGGGGUUUGAAAAUGAUUUGAAUUCCAUUUGAAAAAUUUUAAAUUUUGAAACUUUAAGCAACUCAAUGAGUACAUGAGGGAAGAUAAAAUGACUUCUUCAGAUCGAUGGAAGAGAGUUGGAAGUUUCAAAGGAAUAAUUUGAAGUCACUUUGAAGUUAUUUGAAACUCAUUUUUCCAUUUGAAGUUGUUUGAAAUUCCAAAUUUCUAAUCCUCUUGGGAGUUAUUUAGUUUUAAUUCAAAUUAUUUUUCCCCUAAAAAUAAAUAGAUGGGAAUAAGGGUAAAUUGAUUCCCUUCAAUAGAAAAUUAGGAGAAAUAUAUCUGAAAUCAUUUUGCUAUUUUAAAAAUGAUUUUUAUUGAUUUUAAAUGCAAUAGUAGCACUGUUUGAAUUUUAUGAAUUUUUAUGGAAUUUAGUUGAACUUGAAAAAUAAUUCAUCUUAUUGCUACUAUUUUUCUGAGCAUUUUGGUAUAUAAUAUUCCUACGUAAAUUUUUUAGUUAUUUUCCUAUGUUGAAGUUUUUGUUUCUGCAAAAAAAAACAUGCGCCCGCCAGCCGGCCCAGGGCCUUCGGCCCAAGAGCCAGCCAGCGUACCGAGCCGGCCCAGCAGCGCCCCAGGCCGCCCGAGGCCUUACGCCUCGCUCGCGCGCGCCCCUCUUCCCUCGCUCGCUCUCUCCCACUACCGCUGCCAGUGGGGCCCGCAACCCUCCGUCCCUAACCUCCCGCUCCUCCCCUUCAGAUAGGGCACGCGCGUGCUGCCCGCAACUGCCGGCAGCUCCGCUCGGGAUAGAGCUCAUCCGCAGUCUCCGCAGCCUCUUCUUGAGCCUAUAAAUUCCCCCGACUCCCCUCGUUCGAUUCUGCCAUUCCGCAACGAUCCACGCCGCUCACAGCCGCCGCCUUCGUCGUUUGGAUCUUGCCCGCCGGAGCUACCUCGCCGGUCCGUUCCAUCGUCCGUAAGACUUCCUCGACCCCGUUCUUCUUUGUCAAUUGACUCCCCGCGUCGAGGCGCAUCUGAUUGACAAAAAUUUGCCGCCUAGGUCGUACCAGAGACGUCGCCCCGACGCGCCGUGCUCUUGCCGAAGCACCGGAGCUCCGCCGCCACCCUCCGCUCGUCGCUGGCCACCCCACCGCCCGCCGACCCCACCAGCACCCCGCCCACGCCGCGCCUGACCUCCCCGACCCCUUCGUCGCCGCUGAGGACCACCAGAGACGCCGCCCUGUCCGCCGUCCGCCGCCUGACGCCAACGGCACCGCACCUGUUCGCCGUCCUCGCUCGCUAUGAGCCGCUGAUCCUCGCUCAUUUUUUGUUGUUGUUGUUGUAUUAGAUCGGGUAACCGUGGUUUUAUUAAACCGUGCGGUUUAGUAAAAAACCGGUCUCCGGUUGUCUUUUUAUUUAGCCACGGUAGCCGUUUUAUUUAUUCAGUGGCCGUCCGCCGUUUAGCCUGAGCCGCGAACGCUGCUCAGCCACCCGGAAGCCGCCACGUGGCCAGGGACCUAGUCGUGAAUAAAACUUUCAUAGUCAAGUCCCUGAGUUUUCAAUUUAGCCCCUCAACUUCGAAUGGUUGUAUCUUUUUAACCGUAGCUCCAAAUUCGACGAAACCAGUGGCAAGAUGUUCGCCUCGAUUAGUUUUAUCCAGAGAACCAACUUUGAAAACUUUUGGCCAAAUUCAAAUUUGAAAUUUAUUCAGAUUUGAAUUCAAACUUCAACUGGCCAUAUCUCUUAAACCGUAGCUCCGAUUGGUGUGAUUCUUUUUGCAACGUGUCAUCAUAGCCAAACCCUACCACCUGGACCUUGUCACAAUACUUUUCACACAACUAGAAUCUGUCUAUGAUAGUUUUACUAUUAUGCCAUGCAUGCACUUUAGUACACAUCAUAGUUUUGAACCCCAUGUCACAAGUUGUUUUGCACUUAGGAUAUUUCCAUGCUAGUUAACUGUGUUGAAUGUUCAUUUGGUUUUUCUGAGACUUUGUGCUUUGCAUGUUCUUCUUGGUUCUCUGAAACGAUUGUUGAGAGUGACGAAUAGUUCUAUGAAGUAAAUUUCUGAGAGUGGUAUAAUCUUCAUCAACUAUUACCAGGCAAGUUCACAUUUGACCAUUUUUCCAAUUACCUAUGUUUAUAUUAUGCACUUAGUCCUUUUGUGGUAGGAUUGCAUGGUAGGAUUUAUUGUUACCAGAUGGCUAUGCCGUUACCUAGUAGUUCAUUUGAGGUAGGUAUGAUCUAUACAUCCUUGUCACCACCGUGUAAGUUUAUUUUUGCCUCGCUAAAUGUAGACGUGGUUUGGGAAGCGAACAUGGCGAGACAUGAGUGACAAACUAGUAAUCAAGACCAAGACUUGUAAAUGAACUACCUGGGCGGUAUUUGAUUUGAAUGGUGGUGAAGUACAGUGGGAGCAUGCAUGGUUAAUCCAUGGUGGUGCACCACUAGUGGUUGGCCGCUCAGGCUCAAAGAGAUGAAUCGUAUUCUCAUGUCUAGAAGCUUAUGUGUGCAGCCACAAGCCAAUAUGGGCUCUGGCUUAGUUGAGUAGUUAGUGUGACCCCUUCCGGGAUGGGCUAGCAGAUGUAGAAUGAUGUAGGUGUACCGGCCUAUCCAUGGGUUAAGGGGUGACAUUUUUGAAAGAGUAUGUCUCGGUCAUCCUGUUCUCAAACGCCAGGCAGUGCGAGAACUCCAGGGGAGGCGAUCGAGUCUUGUGGGGAAAAGUGCGCAAACCUCUGUAGAGUGUUUUUUUUGAACUUGACAGUGGGAGAGAACUCCCACUGUAUAUUUUCACAUAUCUAUAUAAAUGGGGUGUUUACAUAGACAUACCACUCACACACAUCCAGCUCCACUCUUGGUGGAACCACCAGGGGUGGGGCAACUACACCAUGGUCACUGCUAUACACUUGUCUCUAAGUAUUUAAAGAGGGAAGAAUAAAACACAGUAUGUCUCAGCUAAGUGUGCCACAAUAUGAAAGCAGGGCAGCUCUACGUGUACCCUGAACUCUAUGUUGCAGAAGUCCCAAGUUCUCUUUGAAUCGAUGGAACCAAGAUGCAAUGCUUGGGGUUACACCUCUGAAGUGUUUAUUGUUUCUUUCCUUCCACAAACUCCAGGUAGUAGUGAAAAAUGCUUCAAUGAAGAAAGGAUUGGGCCAGUUGGGUUGUGCGUUUUGCAACGCAUCAAACCUAUUUUGAAAAUCAAUCCAGUGAACACCUAUCUUGGCCCAACACCUUUCGCUGAACUGGCAGGUGAAGAUCAUAUGCUCGAGAGUCUCAUCUGCAUUUUGCCCACAAAGGAGACAUGUGAUGUCAUUCCCAAUGUCAUAGUGUCUUCUUCUCAGCAUGUCACAUGUGUUCAACCUGUCGUGCAGUAGCAACCAUCCAAAUACUUUGAUUUUCAUCAUACAGUUUGAUUUCCAAAGGAGCGGGAAGAUGGGAUGAGCUGUUGCAUCACGGGAGAAGUUGUUAUAGUAGUCUUUUGGCUUGUACCCAGCUGUCCCCCAAGCAUAGAGCCAAACAUCAGAUAUUGUUGUGGAUGGGUGUAUGCGGAAUGCUGCAUGUUGGACAUCUUGCACCUCGUUGAGCGCACGAGCAGACAGCGGUAGGUGAAAGGUUUCAUGCAGUUCAGUGUUGGCCCAGAAGUCAGCGACCGUCAUGUCUUCCUGCAGAGCAAAUGAAAAGGCACGCGGGUGCGAUGUUUGUAGCACAUCAUUUGACCACAAGUCUUUCCAGAGCAGCGUAGUCGAGCCAUCAACUACUUGGACACGAGUGAUCCCUCGGUAGAUGGGCGUUAAUUUGAGAAUGUCUUUCCACCAGAAAGAACCGACUAGAUCAACCGCAUGAGGCACCUGGUUAGCAUACUGAUUAUCCCAAAGCAUAGUAACCCAUGGUACGUCCAGUUUGUUAUAGAACUUGUGGAGAAAUUUUAGCAGGAGGGCUUCGUUGUAGAUUGUAAUGUUGAUCACUCCUAACCCACAUUUACACUUGGGCUUGCACACUAGUUCCCAAGCCGCAAGCGAAUUACAUUUGUCACCUUGGUCGGUUUUCUUUGUCCAGAGACAUCUCCUUCUAAUCUUGUCAAGAAUUUCAAUUAGAUUCGGAGGGAACUUGAGCGUGCACAUGGCAAACACCAGAAGGGAUGUGACCGAUGCAUUGAGCCAGGAGAGGCGGCCCCCAUAGGACAUCAUAGCGAUCGUGGCAGUGAGACGAUGCUCCAUUUUGCAAACUAGAGGCAUGAAUUCUUGAAUGGUUGGUCUUGUAGUGCCAAGUGGCAGGCCAAGGUAGGUGAAAGGCAUUGUACCUAUAGUGCAGCCAAAAUGGCAGCAAGGCUAGAGGUUGCACUUGCGUCCAGGUUGAUUGGUAUGAGCGUCGACUUGUGAAAGUUAAUUUUGAGGCCAAUAGAGGAUGCAUAGUCAGAGAGAAUGUUCUUGACACGGGCAGCCUGUUAUGGGCAAGCAGGCAAGACAAGGAGGGUGUCGUCCGCAUAUUGGAUCACUGGGUAAUCAUUUUGCCCAUUGCAUGGAAAAGGCAGGCUGAUAUCUCCAUGUCGAUAAGCAUCAUUGCCGUGGCUUGAAGUAGUUCAGCUGCCAGGACGAAAAUGAGGGGGGACAGAGGAUCACCUUGCCGCACACCGCAUCGACAAAGGAACUGUCGGCCUGGGACCCCAUUAAGAAGUUUGGACGAGCGACCCGAGGAGAAGAGGCACUUGAUCCAGGAGAUCCACUUGUCAUUGAAACCCAUCUGCUGCAUAAUGCAAAUCAUUGGUUCAUGCGUGAUGGUAUCGAAUGCUUUGGCGAAAUCAAGUUUAAGAAUAAUGAUUGGCCGGCCCAAGUUUUGACAGUGAUAAAGAUAUUGAUAAUCUCAUGCCAGACAAUUCUGUAUAGUAUGCCCUUUAAUGAACCCAUACUGAUUCCGGUGAAUGAGGGUGAGAAUGACAAGUUGAAGUCUGUCUGCUAGCAGUUUGGUAAUCAACUUGAGGCAGCAGUUGAGCAAUGUAAUGAGUCUGAAAUCAUUGACUGUUUCUGGAGAGUUAGUCUUAGGUAUAAGUGUGAUAAGACCAUCAUUGAUACUUGUGACAUCUAACGUACCUUCAUAGAACCGAUCACAUAGGGUGUAAAAGUCAUGUCGAAUGAUGGGCCAGCAGGCUUUCAAAAACGCCCCACUAAAGCCAUCUGGGCCAGGUGCGUGGUCCGGAGGCAUACCUUUGACCACAUUAUCGAUUUCCUCAUGUGAAAAAGGCGUGGUAAGUUGGUCAAGAUUUGUAGCGCAGGGGAUAAUGUUUGGAAGAUCAAAUUUCAUGUCUGAAGGGGAGACCGUACCCAGGCGGUUUUUGUAAGUUUGAAACAAGAGGGCCUCUUUUGCAGGAUGAUUGUCGACCAAUGUGCCAUCCUCAAGCUUGAGUGAGGAGAUAUUGUUUUGUCGAUAACGUUCCCUGGCCACUGCUUGGAAAAAUUUGGAGUUUUCAUCGCCAAACUUGAUCCAACGAAUAGUACAACGCUUCUUCCAAUAAAGUUUUUGAUAUUUGAGCAGUCUCAGCAAGUGUGACUUUAGGAUACGUUUGAAGUUCAUUUCUGGAAUUGAAAGGAUUCGUUUAUUCUGCCAGGACAUGGUUACAGUUCGUGAUGGCCACUAAUAGACGAGAAAUAUUCUUACUCCAGAUUUUGAGAGCGUGUCGAAGAGCUUUGAAUUUUCGGCAAGGGAUUGUGGCAGCAUUUGCGUUCCAAACUGGCCAUUCCCAAACCUCUCUAACUAUGUCCAUAAACCCUGGGUGUAAGGUCCAGUAGGAUUCAAAACGAAAGAGCUUGGAUCGGGGGAUUUUGGUCUCUAUGGUGACAAUGCAAGGGAUGUGAUCAGAAACGGGCUUGCCAAGGGGUUUAACGAGCAUCUUAGGAUAUGUGUUACUCCAAUGCAAGGAUGUGAAGAACCAGUCAAUCUGUUCAAGCAAAGGAUCGGUCUGCAUAUUGCUCCAAGUGUAGGUUCUACCUUUUACCGGAAGCUCAAUCAGUUGCUGCUGACGAAUGAUGUCAUUGAACGUAAUCAUGUCGUGAAUGUUACCCCCAGGUUUAUUAUGAUUGUCUGGAGCUCUCAUGUAGUUAAAGUCGCCCAAAAGUAACCAGUCUUGGUUACGGGGUAUUUGAACAUCGUACAACCAUUGCGUGAAAACAUCCCUGUCUGUACCAGUGCAAGGCCCGUACACGUUAACUAACGUCCAACGUUGAGAGGAUUGCAUGCUAACGAACUCGAUGGCUAGCGCAAAUGGAUCAGAUGAGAGUACUGAACCAGAGAAAACCGAGCUUUUCCAGAUUGUAAGUAACCCCCAGAGGCGCCGCGCGAAGGGACAAAAGCAAAACGAUCAAAUUGUCUAGGAUAGCAAGUUUUAAUAGAAGCAAAAGUAACCUCAGGCAUCUUAGUCUCCUGAAGACAAGUGAUAGCAAAACCACUGGUAGAGAUAGCAUUAUUCAGAGCCAGUCGCUUCUUCUCAGAAUUGAGCCCACGGAUAUUCCAUGAGAGCACAUUCCAGCAGCUCAACGACGUCAUAUAGAACUCCAAUAUUAAGCAGAGGUGUGAGAGAGAUCCUCUCCCUGGUCAUCACUGUCAAUCAAAGAGGCAGAAUAUUCGGGCACGACAGCAGUUUCAGCAAGCAGGGCUUCUUCAGAAAGUUCAGUAGCAGGUAUAGCACAUCUGUUAACUCCAAUGGAUUGUAGAGUAACUAUAGGAGUUGGGGGCGGGACCUCACCAGCAGAAGUAGCAGCAGAUGCUGAUGUGCCAAUAGACGGGAUGACACAGGGCUUAACUUUGGAAUUGUUCUUGCGACUGUCAGAGAGGGGAGGAACCUUGACCGCAUCAUACGUGUUGGAGCGGAGACUGCGACGCACUUCAGUUGUGGAGAUAGGGGCAGCAGCCCUGGUCCUACGGGGGCGCGGGCCAGUGGUGGCCAUAGAAGCAGUUGCCUCUGAGAUCACAGAAGGUUCUGAAGGUGGAAUGUGCACAACUUGUUCUGUGUCCAUUGGGGCGUCUUAAGUGUUGGGCGGCAUGGCGGGCUCAAUGGCGUUUUCCACACUAGCAUGUUCAGAUAGGUCCUCAAUGAUCACAGCGGAGGCAGCCAAAGCAGAAGUAGAGCUUGAUUGCUAGGAAAAGGUCAGACUAGUAGAAUCCUGUGUGAUCAAGACAGACAACUGGACCUGGUUUGUUCUCAGACCAAACCCCUCUCUCCAAGGUCCAAAAGUUGCAAGCAUUGGGCUAACAGCUUGGAAGAUGAAUGUGUUAAGAUUCAGGCGUGGGAUUGGGUCAUUCAGCAGCCUGGAAAGGAUCUCAUCUCCUUGAGCAGAUAAACCAAAUCUGACACCUUGAUCAUUGAUCUCCAGUGUGAUGUUAAGAGAUUCAAAGCUUGCACUGUCAGACAGCUGUAUAGCUGGAUCAGCCGGGAUGAGAAUGUCAGACUGGGUCGAGCUUGAACUGUCAGACUGGGUGAUCGAAUCAUUCCAAGCUUGGAGAGCAUUAUCAGUGACAUUGUUUUCAGGGACUAACCCAUGUUGCACAGUCAGACCCUGCGCAGCAAGCCAGGCUUGGUAGUUCACCAAAUGGAGCGGCAUUUGCGGGAGUGGAGGAGCAGCGGGCGCCUCCCAAGUGCCCCAUCCAGUGUUGUCAUCCACUUGUUGAGCCUCAUUGUUGCCAGCUGCGGGUGCACCAUUCUGAAUGAGCCAAUUGUGAACUUGCUGCUGAUAUAACUGUUCUGCAGUGAGUUCAGGGCCAAACUGUGGAUGUGGGUUGCCAUCGGGGGGUGGCAUUUCCUCAGGUGCAGCAGGUACAUCAGGGAGGAGGCCAUUCCAGUCGUUGCUGCGACGGAUGGUCACUACUACUGUCCAACUGUCGUGCGCACCACCCAGCUGCCAUACCACAAAGCUCUUGGGGAUGAGGCGCAGACUAAGUACUCUGACUUUUAGAAGGAUGAAUCUGCGGUCCUGACGCGGAUUAUACCAGGAAACUAAGGAACCAUAUCCACCCAAGGCCUUAGUGAUGUAAUAGUCCAUUUGGUAGUCAUACGGAAAGCCGAAGAACAUAAUCCAAAUCUCAGGCCCAAACGGUGCAGCUCUACGAUUAAGAGCCGCAUUGUGCGAAACGAAGGUGAUCAACAGAUCUUCAUCUUCAAGCUCAAGCGGUGUGUUGACAACAUUAUCUCUCAUAAAGGAAUCCACAAAACCGAAAAUCCCAACACCAAGGGGGUGAUCACUGACCUCUGUAGUAAAAAGCUGUGAUUCUUGAAACAGAGUUGUGAUCCGAUGGCGGACGGUGGCCCGGCGAUGCAGGGGCACAUACUCACUGGCUUCUGCAAUGGCCAGGAACUCAUGGCUGAGUGGAGCAAUCGAGCCAACGACCAUGCCGCUGUGCACAAGAUGAUCGGCCGGCCCUGGCUCACCCGCAAAACCCGGCGGGAGGAAAGGCACAGGGUUUAGUGGGUAGUUCGCCAUUGUGGUGGAAGGGAUCAGAGGGGAGGACGGUGGUGCAGUGAUGGGAUGUAACUGCAAUGGCGCAAGCUGCAGCAAAGCGUCAGACUGUGGCGAUGGGACUGGACGGGAUGUGGCCCGUUGGGUUCUCGAGGAGGAAGCUGAAGCGUGAAUGGGGGUAGGAGGCAAAGUUGCCUUUGCAACCUCUGUAGAGAGUUAAAACCUAAUCGAUUAGCCGUGUCCCCGGUUACAGACAACUUGAGCAUCUAGUAGUGGAAAUGAUGGGAGAUCUCAUCACUCUUAAUUAAACAGUUGGGUUUUAAAUGAAACAUUGGGAAUGGAUUGAGUUGUGUUUGCCAACUCAUACUAUGCUAUACUGUAGUGAUAGACUAAUAUCUUUUAUUCUAGGGAAAAACUAGCUUUAUGCAAAAACUAAACUUAGAGCUUUCCACCAGCCAAAUUGCAUGUACAAAUAGGUUCAUUAUUCUUAUGAUGUGACUUGCCAGUACAUUCAAUGUACUGACCUAUAGGGCUGCAACGUCUUAUGUUGCAGGAAUUUCUACGACGAGUAAGAAUUAUGUUGUAGGGUUAUGGUCUACACUCAACUUGCCGUUGGCGUUGAUGGGACUCCACACCCGUUCGAUUGUUUCCACUGAGAUUUAUGAGGUAUAUAUCAGUUUUGCAUUAUUUAUACAUUUGAUUGAACUUUGAUAUAUACAUUGAUGUACUGUGUGUGCCAGCAUAUCGAUCCAGGGAUGGCCCGGAUACACAGAGGCUUGACAGUUUGAGCUCGGGUCGCUACAGAGAUGGUAUCAGAGCACAUGUUGACUAUAGGACGUGACCCUAGAAACUGGAAAGCCCUUAGGAAAAGAUUUCUCUAAAAGUUUAUUUUCAAAAAGAUCCUUUACCUCUCUUCUUUUCUGAGCUUUAUCAAAUCUUUCCUUUUACCCCAAAUAGGUAGGCAAUAUCCCUUUUCCCUUUCACCACGCGGAGGAUCAACUGAUGAGACCACUCCAAGAAGGGCAAGAUAUCGGCCAACUGAUGGCCACUUCAAAGUAAAGAGGAUUUCAUCAUGCAUUAGAACAGUUAAUGCUACGACAGUCGAAGACUCGAAGAAUUUGAAGACACUGAAGAAUUCCAAGAUUUAUAUGACCUUUAGAAGACCAAACCCUUGUUGUGUACUCACGUUAGAUGCGAUGAUUUGUGAGCUGUCAUAUUUGGUGUGUGUUUUCCGAUGCAAUAAAUAAAACUUAUUUUCAAAACUAUAUUGUUUGUAUUUUGUGUAUCUUUCUCUAUCCCUCUUAUCUCAUCCCAAAACCCUUGGACCCAAUAGAUGAUGAAUGAAGAUGGACUUGUAUUCUCUGGACCGAUCACUCGGUUAGAGGAAGAGCUAUGGAUUCAAAACAUGGAGAGUCACUUCGAGAGCAAUUUGGUUGCAAGGAAGUAUGAGGUUCAAUAUGCUCUUUAAUACUUUACAAAAAGUGCUACAACAUGGUGGAAAAUGCAUCAAGCCAUACAAGGAUGUAAUGGAGCAAAAACUUGGGAGGAAUUGAAGAAGACUCUAUUGGGAUCCCGUCUUAUCCGGAAGCACGGUGAUAAACUGAUGAAGAAACCUUGUGCCUGCAAGAUAUGUGGAGAAAUAGGACACACCCAUGAAGAACACAAGGAUGGAUGCCCUCAUUAUGAAGGAAAUCACCCAGCAGAAGAGUGCCCAACUAGGCAGGUUACUUGUUUCUUGUGUGAAGGAACUACGCACUACCCUGCCCAGUGUCAUAUUUACCCCAGGGUACAAGAAAUUACCAAGAAGAAGUGGGGUUUGAUCGACAAGAGAUAGAAGAAUUGAUCGGAAUGAAGAAGUCGAGGAAGAGAAAGAGCAUGUAUCCCCAGAACAACCCAGUUUCUACAGAAAAGGACCUGAGUCAUAUCACUUGUUACAGCUGCAAGGAUUUAGCUCAUUAUUCUAGCAAAUGCCCACCAAGGAAGCCAAGAACCCAAGGAGCCAAGAUAACCACCAGGAACCCCUGGAUUUGUCUGACGCCAUUUGUUUACGCUGCAAAGGAGUAGGACAUUUUGUCAGAGAAUGUUCAGACCCGAGGAAAGCUUGAGCAGAGUAGUUGAGAUCUUGAUAUUGGAAUAAAGCAUGUAAUAAAUGUGGAACGCACUUUUAUUUUCGUGGGGGGUGUUGAUACGUCUCCAACGUAUCUAUAAUUUUUGAUUGCUCCAUGCUAUAUUAUCUACUGUUUUGGACUAUAUUGGGCUUUAUUUUCCACUUUUAUAUUAUUUUUGGGACUAACCUAUUAACCGGAGGCCCAGCCCAGAAUUACUGUUUUUUUGCCUAUUUCAGUGUUUUGGAUAAACGGAAUAUCAAACGGAGUCCAAACGGAAUAAAAUCUUCGGGAACGUGAUUUUCUCACCGAACGUGAUCCAUGAGACUUGGACCUUGCUCUAAGGAACAAAAGAGGCGGUCACGAGGGUGGGGGGUGCCCCCCCUAGGGCGCGCCCCCUGCCUCGUGGGCCCCUCGUUGCUCCUUCGGCGUACUUCUUCCUCCUAUAUAUACACAUGUACCCCCAAACGAUCAGAAGAGGAGCCAAAAACCUAAUUCCACCGCCGCAACUUUCUGUAUCAGAAGAGAUCCCAUCUUGGGGCCUGUUCCGGAGCUCUGCCAGAAGAGGGCCGUCAUCACGGAGGGCUUCUACAUCAUCCUAGCCCCUCUGAUGAAGUGUGAGUUGUUUACCUCAGACCUUCGGGUCCAUAGUUAGUAGCUAGAUGGCUUCUUCUCUCUCUUUGAAUCUCAAUACAAAGUUCUCCCCCUCUCUUGUGGAGAUCUAUUCGAUGUAAUCUUCUUUUUGCGGUGUGUUUGUUGAGACCGAUGAAUUGUGGGUUUAUGAUCAAGUCUAUCUAUGAAUAAUAUUUGAAUCUUCUCUGAAUUCUUUUAUGUAUGAUUGGUUAUCUAUGCAACUCUCUUCGAAUUGUCCGUUUGGUUUGGCCAACUAGAUUGGUAGUUCUUGCCAUGGGAGAACUGCUUAGCUUUGGGUUCGAUCUUGUGGUGUCCUUACCUAGUGACAGAAGGGGCAGCAAGGCACGUAUUGUAUCGUUGCCAUCGAGGAUAAAAAGAUGGGGUUUAUUUCAUAUUGCAUGAAUUUAUCUCUCUACAUCAUGUCAUCUUGCUUAAGGCGUUACUCUGUUUUUAACUUAAUACUCUAGAUGCAUGCUGGAUAGCGGUCGAUGAGUGGAGUAAUAGUAGUAGAUGCAGAAUCGUUUCGAUCUACAUGUCACGGACGUGAUGCCUAUAUACAUGAUCAUGCCUAGAUAUUCUCAUAACUAUGCUCAAUUCUGUCAAUUGCUCAAUAGUAAUUUGUUCACCCACCGUAGAAUACUUAUGCUCUUGAGAGAAGCCACUAGUGAAACCUAUGGCCCCCGGGUCUAUUCUCAUCAUAUCAAUCUCCAUCACUUUAAAUCUUGCUUUGUUUUUACUUUGCUUUUACUUUUUAAUUUGCAUCUUUAUACCAAAAAUACCAAAAAUAUUAUAUCUAUCAGAUCUCAUUCUCGUAAGUGACCGUGAAGGGCUUGACAACCCCUAAUCGCGUUGGUUGCGAGUAGCUAUCGCUUUGUGCAGGUACGAGGGACUUGAGCGUGGGCUCCUACUGGAUUGAUACCUUGGUUCUCAAAAACUGAGGGAAAUACUUACGCUACUGUGCUGCAUCAUCCCUUCGUCUUCGGGGAAAACCAACGCUAGCUCAAGAUGUAGCAGGUGUUGAGUUGAGUUACCGAAUGGAAAUUGUAAUAGCUCAUGAAGCAAUAAAAAUUGAGGUGUUUGGAAUCUCAUAUGAAAUGUUAUGAGUUGUUUGUUGAUUGUGAGUGCCUCUCUCACUAUGUCACCCAGACAUAAACCUUGAACCCAUGGACAAGCUGACCCCAAAACCUUCACUAAAAAAACGACAUUUCACCCAAGGAAAUACAUGCAUUAUCCUAAGUACCCCUUCUAUCUUAUACCUGCAGAUGGCAACCCUUUACGAGUCUUUUCUCAAGGGCCCAGAAACGAUCAUGACCCUAACUAGUGAUCAGGAUUACCCAAAGAUCCUCAAGGACAUGAUGAAGCAUAUUCAUCUUGAAGGAGAUGCAGUCUACAAGGGUUAUCCUUUCAUGGAGAAUGGAGUUGAACUUUGGUACGUGGAGGUACACCUCCACCGUGUGAAGGGAGUUUUCCCAAAGAGUAUGGGGCAAUACUUUUUCAUUUCUCGAGUACCCCGAGCAACAUUCUUCGACUCUGUUCGUGAAACUGCUAUGGAAGCCAUACGUCAGAUUGGAGAAAUACUUGAAGCCAGACUUCGUUAUACUCAGGAAUACCCGAGGGAGGUGCAUGCAGAGAUGAUGGAGAUGAAGCUCAUGGCCACCAUGAUGAAGCAAAAGGUCGAUGAUUUCAAGGACCACAUUGUACAAUUCCAGUGGGACUAAAUUAUCUUCAAGAAGGGCAAAUGAAUAAAGAUGGAAGUAAUGCUUGACCAUAGCAAACUAUGUGGAUGGCAGCUUUUUGUAAUAGAGUACUUUUGAAAUUUGAGUUUUGAGUAGUGGUUAAGGAUGUAAUAAAGGAUUUGAUAUGAAGAGAAUUAUGGAUGAACCAGUGCAUUUUUUGGCGAUACCUGUCUGUGCGAACACUUGACCAAUGGAAAAGGAAAUGUAUGCCAUAGAGUGAAGUUUGGACAAAUGAGUUGGAGUUUGGUUUUAGUUAUGAUGGUUACCCCAAGAGUAUGAAGGAAUGAAGUACUAUUGGAUUUAAAGGAGAUGUAAUGUUGGAAUAUGGAACAAUAGUAACUCCAAGGAUGAGUUAAAGAUAUACAAGUGUUGAAGUGGGCCAUAACCCACAGGACCCAGGAUUUGAUAAGGAAACAAGCACAAUCUUGUUGAAGAAAAUAAUUCUGAAAGAAGCCAUGAUUUCAUCAGCAUACGUUUCAUAGGAGGUUACAUAAACCCAGGAGUUGUGAAUAAACGAUAGAGGUUUUCUUUGGCUUGCAGAACCAAUGGAUUUAUCCGAACCCAGUUCGUGGAGAAGAGAAGUUCUGCAAUGCUUGUGAGGAUGCCCAAGGGCUAGAAUGCGUGAUUCACUAUCUGCGUAUGUGGUAAUGAUUCAAGUACGACAUGGAUUGGCCCCCAUACCGGAGACUUCUAUCAUGAGCUAUCAUAUGAUUGAUAGAAAAUCAGAGAGCCUUAAAACCCUAGAAGAGUGUCGACACGACAAGCCAAAAGCCUUAGAAUGGCAGGAUGAUGGAAACCCUGUACAAGCACCUAUUGCCAACCGUAGGUUAUGCGGUGAGGUUCAACCCAGACCCAUUUCCUGUAGGAGGAACCAGAAAUUGUCGACCACCAUGAGGUUUUCGAUAGUUGUUUAGCAUUGGCGCCAGACCUGUCAAGUCUCAGAAGGAUCCUAUUUUGAUGCAAGGAAUCCUGAUAUUGAUGAAAAGGCCAUGCCCUUACCAGAAGAGCAAAAGUGAAGGGGUUAUCUCAGAGAAUAUGAGAAGACCGACACCGUCAACGCAAAGGAUGGAGUUCAUGAGUUUUAUUGGAACUGUAACCAUGCUUCUAAGGGUGGUAGCACCCCAUUUCUUGUGUUGAUGAAUGGAUUUUCAAGGAGAACCCCCAAACCUAACAUUCUCUCUAGCCUCUUCGAAUCUCGAGGACGAUAUUCAUUUUAAGGGUGGUAGUUUGUAACAUCCCAAAAUUCUAAAAUUUGGAAUGUUAUGUUAAAUAAUUAAUUAUGAUUGUUUGUUUGUUGUGUGAUUGAUUGUGUGAAAAUGAUUGGAAAUUGAAAACUUUUUGAAAGUGGAAAGAGAGGGAAUAAAAGGACUUUCCCGAAACUUUUCAUCUUGCAUUUUGAUCUUCCUGAAUUCAAAUUCAUUUCAUCAUAAAACCCUAGAGUGAAGAUAAUAUAACUUCUUCCAUUUAAAGAAAUGAAAAAAGGGGUUUGAAAAUGAUUUGAAUUCCAUUUGAAAAAUUUUAAAUUUAGAAACUUUAAGCAACUCAAUGAGUACAUGAGGGAAGAUAAAAUGACUUCUUCAGAUCGAUGGAAGAGAGUUGGAAGUUUCAAAGGAAUAAUUUGAAGUCACUUUGAAGUUAUUUAAAACUCAUUUUUCCAUUUGAAGUUGUUUGAAAUUCCAAAUUUCUAAUCCUCUUGGGAGUUAUUUAGUUUUAAUUCAAAUUAUUUUUCCCCUAAAAAUAAAUAGAUGGGAAUAAGGGUAAAUUGAUUCCCUUCAAUAGAAAAUUAGGAGAAAUAUAUCUGAAAUCAUUUUCCUAUUUUAAAAAUGAUUUUUAUUGAUUUUAAAUGCAAUAGUAGCACUGUUUGAAUUUUAUGAAUUUUUAUGGAAUUUCGUUGAACUUGAAAAAUAAUUCAUCUUAUUGCUGCUAUUUUUCUGAGCAUUUUGGUAUAUAAUAUUCCUACAUAAUUUUUUUAGUUAUUUUCCUAUGUUGAAGUUUUUGUUUCUACAAAAAAAAACAUGCGCCCGCCAGCCGGCCCAGGGCCUUCGGCCCAAGAGCCAGCCAGCAUACCGAGCCGGCCCAGCAGCGCCCCAGGCCGCCCGAGGCCUUACGCCUCGCUCGCCCGCGCCCCUCUUCCCUCGCUCGCUCUCUCCCACUGCCGCUGCCAGUGGGGCCCGCAACCCUCCGUCCCUAACCUCCCGCUCCUCCCAUUCAGAUAGGGCACGCGCGUGCUGCCCGCAACUGCCGGCAGCUCCGCUCGGGAUAGAGCUCAUCCGCAGUCUCCGCAGCCUCUUCUUGCACCUAUAAAUUCCCCCGACUCCCCUCGUUCGAUUCUGCAAUUCCGCAACGAUCCACGCCGCUCACAGCCGCCGCCUUCGUCGUUUGGAUCUUGCCCGCCGGAGCUACCUUGCCGGUCCGUUCCAUCGUCCGUAAGACUUCCUCGACCCCGUUCUUCUUUGUCAAUUGACUCCCCGCGUCGAGGCGCAUCUGAUUGACAAAAAUUUGCCGCCUAGGUCGUACCAGAGACGUCGCCCCGACGCGCCGUGCUCUUGCCGAAGCACCGGAGCUCCGCCGCCACCCUCCGCUCGUCGCUGGCCACCCCACCGCCCGCCGACCCCACCAGCACGCCGCCCACGCCGCGCCUGACCUCCCCGACCCCUUCGUCGCCGCUGAGGACCACCAGAGACGCCGCCCUGUCCGCCGUCCGCCGCCUGACGCCAGCGGCACCGCACCUGUUCGCCGUCCUCGCUCGCUAUGAGCCGCUGAUCCUCGCUCAUUUUUUGUUGUUGUUGUUGUAUUAGAUCGGGUAACCGUGGUUUUAUUAAACCGUGCGGUUUAGUAAAAAACCGGUCUCCGGUUGUCUUUUUAUUUAGCCACGGUAGCCGUUUUAUUUAUUCAGUGGCCGUCCGCCGUUUAGCCUGAGCCGCGAACGCUGCUCAGCCACCCGGAAGCCGCCACGUGGCCAGGGACCUAGUCGUGAAUAAAACUUUCAUAGUUAAGUCCCUGAGUUUCCAAUUUAGCCCCUAAACUUCGAAUGGUUGUAUCUUUUUAACCGUAGCUCCAAAUUCGACGAAACCAGUGGCAAGAUGUUCGUCUUGAUUAGUUUUAUCCAGAGAACCAACUUUGAAAACUUUUGGCCAAAUUCAAAUUUGAACUUUAUUCAGAUUUGAAUUCAAACUUCAACUGGCCAUAUCUCUUAAACCGUAGCUCCGAUUGGUGUGAUUCUUUUUGCAACGUGUCAUCAUAGCCAAACCCUACCACCUGGACCUUGUCACAAUACUUUUCACACAACUAGAAUCUGUCUAUGAUAGUUUUACUAUUAUGCCAUGCAUGCACUUUAGUACACAUCAUAGUUUUGAACCCCAUGUCACAAGUUGUUUUGCACUUAGGAUAUUUCCAUGCUAGUUAACUGUGUUGAAUGUUCAUUUGGUUUUUCUGAGACUUUGUGCUUUGCAUGUUCUUCUUGGUUCUCUGAAAUGAUUGCUGAGAGUGACGAAUAGUUCUAUGAAGUAAAUUUCUGAGAGUGGUAUAAUCUUCAUCAACUAUUACCAGGCAAGUUCACAUUUGACCAUUUUUCCAAUUACCUAUGUUUAUAUUAUGCACUUAGUCCUUUUGUGGUAGGAUUGCAUGGUAGGAUUUAUUGUUACCAGAUGGCUAUGCCGUUACCUAGUAGUUCAUUUGAGGUAGGUAUGAUCUAUACAUCCUUGUCACCACCGUGUAAGUUUAUUUUUGCCUCGCUAAAUGUAGACGUGGUUUGGGAAGCGAACAUGGCGAGACAUGAGUGACAAAGUAGUAAUCAAGAUCAAGACUUGUAAAUGAACUACCUGGGCGGUAUUUGGUUUGAAUGGUGGCGAAGUACAGUGGGAGCAUGCAUGGUUAAUCCAUGGUGGUGCACCACUAGUGGUUGGCCGCUCAGGCUCAAAGAGAUGAAUCGUAUUCUCAUGUCUAGAAGCUUAUGUGUGCAGCCACAAGCCAAUAUGGGCUCUGGCUUAGUUGAGUAGUUAGUGUGACCCCUUCCGGGAUGGGCUAGCAGAUGUAGAAUGAUGUAGGUGUACCGGCCUAUCCCUGGGUUAAGGGGGAACAUUUUAGAAAGACUAUGUCUCGGUCAUCCUGUUCUCAAACGCCAGGCAGUGCGAGAACUCCAGGGGAGGCGAUCGAGUCUUGUGGGGAAAAGUGCGCAAACCUCUGCAGAGUGUUAAAAUCUAAUCGAUUAGCCGUGUCACCGGUUACGGACAACUUGAGAAUCUAGUAGUGGAAAUGCUGGGAGAUCUCAUCACUCUUAAUUAAACAGUUGGGUUUUAAAUGAAACUUUGGGAAUGGAUUGAGUUGGGUUUGCCAACUCAUCCUAUGCUAUACUAUAGUGAUAGACUAAUAUCUUUUAUUCUAGGGAAAAACUAGCUUUAUGCAAAAACUAAACUUAGGGCUUUCCACCAGCCAAAUUGCAUGUACAAAUAGGUUCAUUAUUCUUAUGAUGUGAAUUACCAGUACAUUCAAUGUACUGACCUACAGGGCUGCAACGUCUUAUGUUGCAGGAAUUUCUAAGACGAGUAAGAAUUACGUGGUAGGGUUACGGUCUACACUCAACUUGCCAUUGGCGUUGAUGGGACUCUGCGCCCAUUCGAUUGUUUCCCUGAGAUUUAUGAGGUAUAUAUCAGUUUUACGUUAUUUAUACAUGUGAUUGAACUUUGAUAUAUACAUUGAUGUACUGUGUGUGCCAGCAUACCGAUCCAGGGAUGGCACGGAUACACAGAGGCUUGACCGUUUGAGGUCGGGUUGCUACAGCAAAUCAGCUAGAUCUUUCAAGGCAAACUCUGAGAUCAAAUCAUGCAGAAUGGCAUUAGUAGCACUUUGUGAUGAACUUGCAACUAUGAUGCAUCCACAUAUAUGAGAACAAAGAUAACUACUUUUCCCUUGUUAUAAAUGAACAAAGAUGUAUCAGCUUGGAAGCACUAAAACCAAGACAUUUCAAUUGAGAGCUCAACCUGGAGUACCAUGCUUUAGGUGCUUGUUUCAAGCUAUAGAGUGCUUUGUCAAGCUUGCACACAUAAUGUGGUGUUUUCUUACUCUCAUAUCCUGGUGGUUGUCUCAUGAAUACCUCCUCUUCCAGAACACCAUGUAAAAACGCAUUCUGUACAUCUAGCUAUCUCAAGCUCGAUCCCUUGGAUACAGCACUAGCUAACACAAAUCUUAUAGUUGCAGCUUUUACAACCGGACUGAAGGUAUCCUCAUAGUCUAUGCCAUAGCGUUGUUUAAAGCCCUUUGCAACUAGACGUGCCUUAUAUCUGUCAAUGGAGCCAUCUGCUUUCUUUUUAAUUCUAUACACCCACUUGCAAUCAAUAAUAUUUUUACCUCUCUUAUCAGGCACAAGAUGCCAAGUUUUGUUCCUCAUAAGUGCAGAAUAUUCCUCAUCCAUUGCUUUCUUCCAUUUAGGGUCACCAAGUGCAUCAUUCAGUGUCAUUGCUUCCCCUGAAAUACAUAGCAUGCCAUACCGUAUAGUACCAUCAGUUUGUAUUUUGGGAUUAUGGAUACCUUUUUGUAACCUGGUCAUAACUCGCAAGGGAGCUUCUUGUUGCAUGUGUACAGGAACAAGAUCCAUUGGCGCAGAAGAUCCACCUCUUGCUACUGAAUCUGCUGGUGAUGCAGAAGAUCCAUCGGACACUGGCGCAGAAGAUCCACUGGACCUUGGUGUGGCCCCCCUGCCACUGGACGCCCAGGAAACCACAUGGCUUCCAGGCAUAGACGAUCCGCUGCCAGGUUGCAUGUGCGCGGGACGCGAGGAGGAGCCGACCGCGCGACUGGUCCCACUGGGCCCACUAUCGGGUGACGCGUCGGCGUGGGAGUGGCCCUCCCAGGAAUCUGGGCCGCUGCCACCUUGUACGCGAUCCAAGAAAGAUCUGUGCGCACGAUCCGAGGCCUGCAAGAGCGCAGGAGUACCAAGGAAUUCAACUGAUAUGAUUACUCUACUUAUUGAUGUGCAAUAAUGUAAUAUGACUAUUAAGAAGCAUUCUAACUGUGGAGGUGGUUUCACACUUCUUACUACAACAAAGGUGAUUGAAGGAUUCCUCGGCAGAAACUAGAACGCACACCUUCAAUAAUUGACGAGCUAAUUGGUUGUUGAACUUCAUGUUGAAGAUAUCUCAUGUAGGCCCAGGCCGGCGCAUAUAGUUAGUUGAGGAGUUGGUUAGCUUAGAGAUAGACUAUCAUCUAAUUAAACUUUUGUAUCUCUAUCUCCUAAUCUCUUGUACUCCAAGUUAUGUAUGCGUACAUGGGAUAAGCCUCAUCUCAAUCAAUAAAUACCCGCGGCCCUCUCUCGUGGAGGGUAGAACGCUUCCGAUAUAUUUCCUAUAUGGUCAUCAGAGCUUUCUCUUCUCGUCCAAAAACCAGAAAACCUAGAUUGCCAUCCUUCCCACCAUGUCAUCCUCCUCCAACCCCCCGACUCUCUCUGGUCUUGGUUACCAAAUCAGUGAGAAGCUCACCGCUGAGAACUACCUGCUGUGGAAGGCACAUAUCCUCCAGCACUUCCUUGGUGCCGGGCUCUAUGGCUAUCUAGACGACAACAUCGUCGAACCAGAGAAGCUCAUGGUCGCGAAGGACAAGGAUGGAAAGGAUCAAGCGGUCCCCAAUCCGGCGCAUGAUUCUUGGGUGCGGCAGGACCAACAGGUCCUUGGCCACAUCAUCAACAAUCUCUCGAUGGAGGUGCUGGUCUCGGUCGUCUCCAUUGGCGUGAGCUCUCUGGACAUCGAUGCGUAACAUGUUUGCUUCACAAUCUCAUUACCGCAUUAAUAAUAUCCAGAUUUCCCUGUCCAGUGCCUAAAAGGGCAAUCAGCGUCGGCAUACUUUGCUCGGAUGCGCAGAUAUGCUGAUGAACUUGCUGCUACCGGGAGACCUCUGCAAGAGGAUGAGCUCACCUCCUUCCUCCUGGCUGGGCUGGACCUCGACUACAACCCCCUUAUCUCAGCCCUCGACGACCGGACGGAUCCUAUCACCAUCGAUGACUUAUACUCACAGGUCUACAACUUUGAUCAGCGGGUGUCGCUGCUCAUGGGAGGCGUGGGCUUCAAGUCCUCUGCAAACUCUGCCCAGCAUGGUGGGCCACCUCCAUCUCGAGGCUUUGGAAAGCCGAGGGAUCAGAAGAAGCAAGGUGGUGGCGGCGGCUACAAGAAGAAACAAGGUGGCGGUGGGCAUCCCUACUACAUCAACACCAAGGGAGCUCGCUCUGGUGCCCCUGGAGGGCCAGGAGGUCUAGGAGGCCUCGAUGGUCCUCCACCCGCCAACAACCACAAGGGGAACGACCCCAUCCAGUGCCAGAUAUGCAUCAAGUUCGGGCACAGCACCAAGGACUGCUGGUAUCAUUUUGAUGAUGAUGCCCUUGAAUAAAAAGUUGUUGCUGCCACCCAGUAUGGGGUGGAUACAAAGUGGUAUGUUGACAGCGAUGCAACCGGUCAUCUCAUCGGCGAACUAGAGAAGUUGACAGUCCGCGACAAGUAUCGUGGGCAGGGUGAAAUCCAUGGCGCAAACAGAUCAGGUAUGAGGAUAGAUCAUGUUGGUCAUUCAGUUUUUCAAACCCCUAACCGUCCCAUCCAUCUUAAAAGAAUUUUACAUUAUCCUCAUGCCCAAACCAGUCUUCUUUCUGUAAAUCAUAUUGCCUUGGAAAAUCAAGUAUUUCUUGAAUUUCACCCCUUCUACUUUUCGAUCAAGGACCAGGCAACGAGGAGAAUCCUCUACAUAUGUAGAUGCAUUGGUGGGCUCUAUCCAUUGAUUCCUCGCUUUAGGAGUUCAAAUAAACAAGUUCUUGGUCUCACCAAAUUAUCUUCGGCAAGGUGGCACGAUCGAUUUGGGCAUCCUUCUUUUGCUAUAGUUCAACGAGUGCUUAGGAAAAAUAAGCUCCCUUUUGUUGGUGAGCCUAGUAGUGAAAAAAAUUGUGAUUCAUGUCAACGAGAAAAAAGUCAUCAACACCCUUCCCCUGUGUCAACUAGCGUUUCUUCCAAACCAUUAGAACUAUUUUUUUUCUGAUGUAUGGGGCAAGCAGCUCUUUCUGUUGGGAGACACAAGUAUUAUGUAAACUUUAUUGAUGAUUAUAGUAAGCAUACUUGGAUCUACCUUAUCAAGCAUAAAUCUGAUGUGUUUCAAGUAUUCCAAAAUUUCCAAGCACUUGUUGAACGAAAAUUCUCUAGCAAAAUAAUCUCUGUCCAAUCGGACUGGGGUGGCGAGUAUGAAAAAUUAAACUCGUUCUUUCAAAAACUGGGAAUUUCCCAUCAUGUCUCUUGUCCCCAUGCGCACCAACAGAAUGGUUCUGCAGAACGCAAGCAUAGACAUAUUGUCAAAGUUGGUCUUUCUCCUUGCUAAUGCAUCCAUGCCAUCGAAGUUUUGGGAUGAAGCAUUCAUCACUGCUACACAUCUCAUUAAUAUGUUGCUAAGCAGGGUUAUCAAUUUUGAAACACCCACCGUGUUGGGGAACGCAGUAUUUAAAAAAAAAUUCCUACGAUCACGCAAGAUUUAUCUAGGAGAUGCAUAGCAAGGAGAGGGGAGAGUGUGUCCACGUAUCCUCGUAGACCGAAAGCGGAGGCAUUUAGUAAUGCGGUUGAUGUAGUCGAACGUCUUUGCGAUCCAACCGAUCAAGUACCAAACGCACAGCACCUCCGCGAUCUGCACACGUUCAGCUCGGUGACGUCCCUCGUACUCUUGAUCCAGUUGAGGCCGAGGGUGAGUUGCGUCAGCAUGAUGGUGUGUUGAUGGUUAUGAUGAAGUUACCAAUGCAAGGAUUCGCCUAAGCACUACGACAAUAUGACCGAGGUGGAAAACUGUGGAGGGGGGCACCGCAACGGUUAAAGAUCAACUCUUGUGUCUAUGAGGUGUCCCCCUCCCCCAUAUAUAAAGGAGGGGAGGAGGAGGAGGGCCGGCCUCAAGGGGCGCUCCCAAGGGGGGGAUUCCUACUCCUAGUAGGAGUAGGUUUCCCCUUUCCUAGUCCAAGUAGGAGAAGAAGGAAGGAGAGGAAGAAGAGAAGGAAAGGGGGCCCGCCCCCCUUAGCCCUAGUCCAAUUCGGUUUGGGCUACGGGAGGCGCGCGCCACCUCUUGGCCUACCUCCUCUCUUCCACCACUAGGCCCAUAAGGCCCAAUAACUUCCCGACGGGGGUUUCGGUAACCCCCAGUACUCCGAAACUUAUCCGAAAUGACCCGAACCAUCCCAGUGUCCAAAUGUAACCUUCCAAUAUAUGAAUCUUUAUGUCUCGACAAUUUCGAGACUCCUCGUCAUGUCCAUCAUCUCAUCCGGGAUUCCUAAAAACCUUCGGUACAUCAAAUCACAUAACUCAUAAUACAUAUCAUCAUCGAACGUUAAGCAUACGGACCCUGCGGGUUCGAGAACUAUGUAGACAUGACCGAGACUCAUCUCCGAUCAAUAACCAAUAGCGGAACCUAGUUGCUCAUAUUGGUUCCUACAUAUUCUACGAAGAUCUUUAUCAGUCAAACCGCAUAACAACGUACAUUGUUGCCUUUGUCAUCGGUAUGUUACUUGCCCGAGAUUCGAUCGUCGGUAUCAUCAUACCUAGUUCAAUCUUGUUACCGGCAAGUCUCUUUACUCGUUCCGUAAUGCUCAUCCCGUGACUAACUCAUUAGUCACAUUGCUUGCAACGCUCAUAGUGAUGUGCAUUACCGAGAGGGCCCAGAUAUACAUCUCCGAUACACAGAGUGACAAAUGCUAAUCUCUAUCUAUGCCAACUCAACAAACACCAUCGGAGACACCUGUAGAGCAUCUUUAUAAUCACCCAGUUACGUUGUGACGUUUGAUAGGACACAAGGUGUUCCUCCGGUAUUCGGGACUUGCAUAAUCUCAUAGUCUGAGGACCAUGUAUAAGUCAUGAAAAAAUAAUAGCAAUAAACUAAAUGAUCAUACUGCUAAGCUAACGGAUAGGUCUUGUCCAUCACAUCUAAAUGGUUUUUUCUUUUCUUGAUUAAUACUCCCUCCGUCCCAUAAUAUAAGACAUUUUUUGACAUUACACUAGAGUCAAAAAACGUCUUACAUUAUAGGACAGAGGGAGUAGUAUUUGUUUUUGGAUGCUUGCAGGUGUUGGAAGAGAACUACUAGGUUGUUGUCCAAGUCACUUCUCACAAAUGUGUGACGCCUGCCCCCACGUGUGAGCCAGCGCAGCCGAAGGCGGCGCACUAACAACGAAACCUAACAAAUUAACUGGCCACACGUGCCAGCCGGUUCCCACGGGUGCGAUGCAUGCCCCCACUUGCAAGCCAGAGGGCGGCCCUACGGACGAGCCGGCAUAGGUGUACAUGAUGCACGCACUAUCUGUUGCGACCGGACCAGCUCGGCGCAUUGCCAGCGGAUGCCAACGGCAAAAUUUCGUGUUUUGACCCUUUUCUGAAACCUAUUAAAGAUCUGACCCUAGGCAGCAGAAGACAUCCUUCAAAUUGAUCACAAUCUUCUUACCCCAACUGAGACCGAGGCUUUCAAGAUGAUUGAGUUAUCCCGUAUACAAAACAAGUAUGUCACACGUGAAAAUAUUUUGUUGAAGGAGCAUAUCAUCGCACUCAAGGGCAUUAUCCGCAAGUUGGAGGACCUCCUACGCUCGAUGUGCGACUAUCCAUCAUCAACAACUCCACCUUCUUCAUAAACAAAGAAGAACUGAGUAUCUGGUAUGGGCACUCCACUUGGCAACUGCCAAGCUUGGGGGAGUGCCCCGGUAUCGUAUCACCAUCACUUCUAUCUUUACCGUUUUCCUUAGUUCGAUCCUUUUGAUAAUAUUUUGAUCUAGUAGAAUAAAACUUCUUAGUAUGAUCUAGUUGUGAGUUUUGCUUUAUGAUCCUUCUAUGUAAUCGAGUCCGUGAGCUAUAUAUAAUAAAGAUUAGUGUUGAGUCAAGGACUUGAUUAUUUUGCCAUAAUCUUGAGUGAAUAAAAGAAAAGAGAAGAAAUAAAAAGAAACAAAGAGAUCAUAUGGAUCUUAUGGAGAGUAAUGAGCUCACAUAGAAAGAGUAUGAUGAAUAAAAGUUGUUGAGAGUUGACAAACAUAGUUUUGGUCAUCGUUGCAAUUAAUAGGAAGUAAUAAAGAAAGAGAGGUCUUCACAUAUAAAUACACUAUCUUGGACAUCUUUUAUGAUUGUGAGCACUCAUUAAAAUAUGACAUGCUAAAGAGUUGACGUUGGACAAGGAAGACAAUGUAAUGGGUUAUGUUUUCUUACAUCUGAGAUAAAUUAUAUUGUCAUGGAUCAUCCAACAUGAUUGAGCUUGCUUUUCCCCCUCAUGCUAGCCAAAUUCUUUGCACCAAGUAGAGAUACUACUUGUGCUUCCAAACACCCCUAAACCAAUUUUUCCAUGAGUGUCCACCAUACCUACCUAUGGAUUGAGUAAGAUCCCUCAAGUAAGUUGUCAUCAGUGCAAGUAAUAAAAAUUGCCCUCUAAAUAUGUAUGACUUAUUAGUGUGGGAGAAAAUAAGCUUUAUAUGAUCGUAUGAUAUGGAAUAAAUAAAAGCGGCGGACUGCAUAAUAAAGGUCCAUAUCACAAGUGGCAAUAUAAAGUGACGUUCUUUCGCAUUAAGAUUUUGUGCAUCCAACCAUAAAAAUGCAUGACAACCUCUACAUCCCUCUGUGAAGGGCCUAUCUUUUUCUUUUAUCUCCUACCUUGCAUAAGAGUCAUGGUGAUCUUCACCCUUCCUUUGUACAUUUUAUCUUUUGGCAAGCACAACAUGUUGGAAAGAUCCUGGUAUAUCUGGCUAAUUGGAUGUGAAUUUUCAUGAACUAUUAUUGUUGACAUUACCCUUGAGGUAAAACGUUGGGAGGCAAAACUAUAAGCCCCUAUCUUUCUCUGUGUCCGAUUAAAACUCCAUACCCAUAAGUAUUGCGUGAGUGUUAGCAAUUGUGGAAGACUAUAUGAUAGUUGAGUAUGUGUACUUGCUGAAAAGCUCUUAUAUUGACUCUUUCCUAUGUUAUGAUAAAUUGCAAUUGCUCCAAUGACUGAGAUUAUAGUUUGUUAGUUUUCAAUGAAGUUUGUGAUUCAUACUUGAAAUUGUGAUUGAAUUGUUACUCUAGCAUAAGAGAUCAUAUGACAAGAAUUAUAUAAGUUGUUGUUUUAAGAAUGAUCAUAAUGCCCUCAUGUACGUAUUUUAUUUUUAUCGACACCUCUAUCUCUAAACAUGUGGACAUAUUUUUCGAUUUCGGCUUUCGCUUGAGGACAAGCGAGGUCUAAGCUUGGGGGAGUUGAUAUGUCCAUUUUGCAUCAUGCUUUUAUAUCCAUAUUUAUUGCAUUAUGGGCUGUUAUUACACAUUAUGUCACAAUACUUAUGCCUAUUCUCUCUUAUUUUACAUGGUUUACAUAAAGAGGGAGAAUGUCGGCAGCUGGGAUUCUGGGCUGGAAAAGGAGCAAAUAUUAGAGACCUAUAGUACACAGCUCCAAAAGUCCUGAAACUUCACGGAAGUCAUUUUUAGAAUAUAUAAAAAAUAUUGAGCGCAAGAAGUUCCAGAGGGGGCCCACACCCUGGCCACGAGGGUGGGGGCCAGCCCUACCCCCCUGGGUGCGCCCCCUGCCUCGUGGGCCACCUGGUGGCCCUCCGAUGCCCAUCUUCUGCUAUAUGGAGUCCUUCGAUGAGAAAAAAAUGAUAAGCAAGCUUUCGGGAUGAGACUCCGCCACCACUAGGCGGAACCUUGGCGGAACCAAUCUAGGGCUCUGGCGUAGCUAUUCUGCCGGGGAAACUUCCCUCUGGGAGGGGGAAAUCAUCGCCAUCGUCAUCACCAAUGAUCUUCUCAUUGGGAGGGGGUCAAUCUCUAAGUCUGGGAUUGGUACCCGUGGGUUGCUAGUAGUGUUGAUUACUCCUUGUAGUUUAUGCUAGUUGGUUUAUUUGGUGGAAGAUCAUAUGUUCAGAUCCUAUAUGCAUAUUAAUAUCCCUCUGGUUAUGAACAUGAAUAUGCUUUGUGAGUAGUUACGUUUGUUCCUGAGGACAUAGGAGAAGUCCUGCUAUUAGUAGUCAUGUGAAUUUGGUAUUCGUUCGAUAUUUUGAUGAGAUGUAUGUUAUCUCUCCUCUAGUGGUGUUAUCACUACAAAAAAAGACACAUCCGUGACAUUUUGGGCCGAACGAUAUUUUUUCUGUCAUACAUAUGACACUUCUAUGACGAUAAUUGUGACAAAACCCGGUAUCAUCAUAGAUGUGAUGGGAUCCUACGUCUAUGACAAAAAAUCAUGACAGAAAAUGGGCUUUUCGUCCGGGGCGGGCCAGAGACGCAGCUGCAUGACAUUCUUUGGGCCAUCCAUGAUGGAAAAAACCGUGGUAGAAGCGAGGGGGAGGAAAAUUUCGGGGAGUUCCCGGUUACGGUGGGAGGUCGGGGGCCGAGCGAUGCGCGUUUCUCUCGUACACGUACGCACGUGUGUGCGAGGCGUUGGCUCUAACUGAACCCGAGCGAUUGCACUGCAGGCUACGCAUUAUUGAACCCGAGCGAUCGAUCGAUGGAUGUUAACUGAACCCGAUCGAGCGAUUCCUUCGCUACUGCUGCUAAUUNNNNNNNNNNNNNNNNNNNNNNNNNNNNNNNNNNNNNNNNNNNNNNNNNNNNNNNNNNNNNNNNNNNNNNNNNNNNNNNNNNNNNNNNNNNNNNNNNNNNNNNNNNNNNNNNNNNNNNNNNNNNNNNNNNNNNNNNNNNNNNNNNNNNNNNNNNNNNNNNNNNNNNNNNNNNNNNNNNNNNNNNNNNNNNNNNNNNNNNNNNNNNNNNNNNNNNNNNNNNNNNNNNNNNNNNNNNNNNNNNNNNNNNNNNNNNNNNNNNNNNNNNNNNNNNNNNNNNNNNNNNNNNNNNNNNNNNNNNNNNNNNNNNNNNNNNNNNNNNNNNNNNNNNNNNNNNNNNNNNNNNNNNNNNNNNNNNNNNNNNNNNNNNNNNNNNNNNNNNNNNNNNNNNNNNNNNNNNNNNNNNNNNNNNNNNNNNNNNNNNNNNNNNNNNNNNNNNNNNNNNNNNNNNNNNNNNNNNNNNNNNNNNNNNNNNNNNNNNNNNNNNNNNNNNNNNNNNNNNNNNNNNNNNNNNNNNNNNNNNNNNNNNNNNNNNNNNNNNNNNNNNNNNNNNNNNNNNNNNNNNNNNNNNNNNNNNNNNNNNNNNNNNNNNNNNNNNNNNNNNNNNNNNNNNNNNNGUGGAGGGGUGCCCGUGGAGGGGUGGUUGAACUGGACCCCGUGGUGUGGAGGGCUGGAUGAACAGUAGACGGUGGAGGGGUGGUUGAACAGUAGCCGGUGGAGUAACGCGCGGUGGAGGCUGGAUGAACAGGAGCCCGUGGAGGCUGGAGGAGGUCGACGGUGGAGAUGAACAGUAUCCCGUGGAGUCCCGUUUUGCGGUACGCCACACCCCUCCCAGUAAACAGGACCCCCGUUUCGACCGUAGCGCUCCAACACAAGUCAGUUUCCUCCAUUUUGCGGUACGCCACACCCCUCCCGAUCAACAGGACCCCCGUUUCAACCGUAGGAGGUCCGUUUCCUCCGUUUUGCGGUACGCCACACCCCUCCCGAUGAACAUGAUCCCGUUUCGAACAUGGCCAGUCGAACACAAGGCCGUUUCCUCCAUUCUGCGGUACGCCAGGCCUCGUUUCCAUCGCCUAUUCCGUCCAAGCCCUCCCGAUGAACACAACGCAUUCCGUUGCCUCCCCAUGAACACGACGCAUUUUGUUGCCUCCCCAUGAACACGACACAUUUCGUUGCCUCCCCAUGAACACGACGACGACGCUGUUUCUCAGUUCCGACCCAGCCUUGUACAUGAGCCCUCGUCGUACGUAUGCGCGAGUAGGCAUUCGAGACCCCGCCCGUAUGUACACAUACGUGGCCGUAUUUUCUUUCUUGCACCCUGACCGCUGUACAUACGUGUACAUGCUACGUGCGCGCCUCUACUACGACACAUGCGCGCCUCGACAUCGACCAGUAUAUAUGUACGUACACGUUCGCGACCAGAAUGACAACGCUACGUACGCUUCGACCAGGUAGGUCCCGACUGCCAGGCACUUCCUUGCAUGCGAAGAUGUAGCUGGUGGGUCCCAGCAGUCAAGGCACUACUAGGGACAAGCCUAUACACAGAAUCUUACCAGCAGCGCGCUUUAAAAUCAGGCGCUGCUGCUAAGUAGCAGUAGCGCAGGUUUUUAACCCUCGCUACUACUAAGUUGAUAGCAGUAGCGCUGGUUUUUUAGCCUCGCUACUACUAAGCGGUCACUACCGUGCCCCUCGGGACAUGCCAUAGUAGUAGCGCGGGUUUUUAACCCUCGCUACUCCUAAGUUGAUAGCAAUAGCGUUGGUUUUUACCCCUCGCUACUACUAAGCUGUCUCUACCGUGCCCCUGGGCCAUGCCAUAGUAGUAGCGAGGGUUAUAAAACCGUGCUACUACUAAGUUUUUACCCCUCACUACUACUAAGAGGUCUCAACCGUGCCCCUCCGGGACAUGCCAUAGUAGUAGCGAGGGGUAAAAUCCCUCGCUACUACUAAAGGUGCCAUUUUGAAACUCUACCCCCCUGGAUCGCCUUUUGGGUUUUGUAAAAAGCAAAAGAAAAUGAUAAAAACUUCAAAAAUUAAAAUCCUUCUAGAUUUAGUUAUGUUACUACAUCUACUAGUUAGGAAAAUUUAAAAACUUAAAUUUGGACAUGUUUUGCAAAAAGUGUCGGGAAAAUGUAAAACGGCUAUAACUUUUGCAUACGAUGUUAGAAAAAAACGUAUAAUAUAUCAAAAUGUUUCAAAAAUUAAAAUCCUUUGAGAUGUAGUUAUGUUACUACAUCUACUAGUUAGGAAAAUUUAAAAACUUAAAUUUGGACAUGUUUUGCAAAAAGUGUAGGGGAAAUGUAAAACGGCUAUAACUUUUGCAUACAAUGUCAGAAAAAAACGUAUAAUAUAUCAAAAUGUUUAGCACGAAAAUCUGCAUACGAUGUAGACAGCUACGGCCUAUUUGCAAAUUUUUAGAAUCCUCAAAUUCUAAAAGGAAAAAAAAUUAUGCUCAAAUUUCAGUUUUUUUAAUUUUGGUCAAAUCUGGUCAAACUGUGGUCAAACUAAUUCAAGAAGUAUUAGUGUUACUAAAUAAUUAUUUCAGUUUUUGGAAUUUUGGUCAAAUCUGGUCAAACUGUGGUCAAACUUUGGUCAAAAUGUGGUCAAACUCCUUAUUCAAGAAAUAUUAGUGUUACUAAAUAAUUAUUGUUUUUUAGAACAAUUGUUUUAAACUCAAACAGCAAAAUGUGUGACUUCAUGCUCAAGCUAAACUCCCGAGGGUUAAUAGGAUUGACAUCUUACUAUUGUCAGGAAAGCAACAAGUGCAGACCUGGAAUCGAGGGAGAAUAGAACCCGGAAGUUAAGCGUGCUCAGGCUGGAGUGGUGAGAGGAUGGGUGACCGUCCGGGAAGUUAGAUGAUUUGGAAUGAUGAGGGGUGAUUAGAGAUAAAAUUGAGCAGCGAUGAGGGUGAUUAGAUAUUAGAGGUUAAAAUAAUUCAGAAAUUUGAAAAUUCGCGCAAAAAAUUCGAAAAAAAAUUCUGCGGGUUAGUAGUAGCAUGGGUUUUUAACCACACUACUACUAACGGACGUAGUAGUAGCGCGGGUGGCACCCGCGCUGCUGCUAUACGUUAGCUGUAGCGCCUUAUUAGUAGCGCCGGCCCACGCGCUGCUAAUAGGCCCAAAACCCGCGCUGCUGCUAGGCUCUUCCCUAGUAGUGAGGAGGGGAAUUGUUUUAUUUUGUUUUGCCCGGACGCACUUCCUUCCGUCCGAAGGUGUAGCUAGUGGGUCCCAGCAGUCAGGGGGGAAACGUUUUUUUCGUGAAAUACGGUGGCCCGUCUGGUGGUCCCCGCUGUUAGGUGGAGGAAUAAUUAUUUUGCACAUAAUAAGGAGGCACUUCCUUGCUGCGGCCGUGGACCCAGGUGUCAGCCACUCCACGUACAGUCCACGUCCGAUGGAAGUCGUUCCUUGACCACGUUGACCACGCUGCACCGAGAGCACCAGGGCAGUGGACGACGGCGAGGCCUAGGAAGGGGACGACGAGGAGCUAGGGAAGACGCGGCAGUGGAAGCCUGUGCGGAGAGGAGUACGAGGGUUCACUGGUUCGGCUACGGUGUGAGGCUGCCGUCACCGCAGGGCCUGGCCAGCGGUGGGAAUAGUAGGGGGCGGUGAGGCGUCCGCAGCAGCACAGCCGACCAUGGGAGGCAGGAGCAUGCGGCACGACCGGCGCAACUUUGGGCGGCUGGAGCAAGAAGACCAGAGGUUGAAGAAGCACUACGGCUGUUGGAUGGACAUCGUACAGUCACUGGAGCUAGAAUCGUUCAUAUUGAUUAAAGUUGACAAAGGCCCCCGUCCCAGUCAACUUAGUAGGCCCACAAGUCAGCCUCCCACCAUGGUGGGUCCCAGCUAGCAGGGGGGUAUUCAUUUUUUUGUGCGUAAUAAGGAGGCACUUCCGGUGGGUCCGAGCUGAUAGCGGGGGGGACGUUUUUUUCGCGAAAUACGCUGGCCCGUACGGUGGGUCUGAGCAGUCAGGGGGGAAACGUUUUUUCGCAAAAUAAGGUGGCCCGUCCGGUCAGUCCCUGUUGUAAGGUGGAGGAAUAAUUAUUUUGCGCGUAAUAAGAAGGCACUUCCUUGCGGCUGCAUGGACCCAGCUGUCAGCCUCUCCACGUACAGUACUCUUCCGAUGGAAGUCGGUCGUUAACCACGUUGACCACGCCGCGCCGAGAGCACUAGGGCGGUGGUCUGGACGAUGGCGAGGCCUAGGAAGGGGACGACGCGGAGCCGGGGAAGACGCAGCAGCGGAAGCCCGCGCGGAGAGGAGUACGAGGGUUCACUGGUUCGGCUGCGGUGUGAGGCUGCCGUCGCCGCAGAAUAACAGGGGGUGUGCGUGAGUGGAGGGAUGGCCUGGCCAGCGGUGGGGGUUGUAUGGGGGCGGUGAGGCCUCCGCGGCAGCACAGCCGGCCACGGGAGGCAGGAGCAGGUGGCACGACCGGCACUGCUUUAGGCGGCUGGACCAAGAAGACCAGAGGUUGAAGAAGCACUAAGGCCGUUGGAUGGACAUCGUACGGUCAUUGAAGCUAGAAACGUUUAUUAUUGACUAAGUUGACAAAGCCCUUGGUACGCUCCAACUUAGUAGGCCCACAGGUCAGCCUCCGAAACAGUGUGCCCCAGAUGUCAAGGAGAGGAAUCAUUUUUUGGGCGGCCGAAGCUAAGAAUAUCCGAGAUUGAAGAAGAAGCACGACAUCCGUUGGAUAGACAUCCAACGUCCACUGCUGCUAGAACCGUGUGUUGACUAUAAUAAGUUGGCAAAGCCUUGCAUACGCGUCAACUUAUUUUUUUAGGGGACACGUCACUUAGUAGGCCCACAAGUGUGUGGCAGAGAACUUAUAGCCCAUUUGCGUUUUUGUAAGAAUGUACAGCCCAUUUUGGAAUUCUAAUGGAAUUUACAACAGCCCAUUUACAGUUUGUUAAAAGUACAGCCCAUUUUCUAGCUAGGAAAAUGAUUAAUAAUUUCAACCAACCGUUGAAGACCGAAUUCAACAAAAUUUCCCACAUUUUGAUGGGCUCCAAAAUAUUUUUAUCCUGAAAUUUUUAGUCAGAUUAAAUAUAAAUUUGUAUUAGGUAAAAAUCCAAUGAAACAUUGCGCGCGCAACAAUGAAAAUUUAAGAUUUUCAAAAUCCAUAAAUAAUAUUUUAUAAACUAAUUUCGUGUUUGGUGCAUUUUUUAUAGUUACUGCCUAGUUUUUAUAAUUACAUCCCAUUUAUUAUUUUUUAAAGCCCAUUUUCCUGUUAAGCCUAAUGUAUCCCUCCUAGGAAAGAUUUGCAGCCCAGCGGGGUGGAGAAUAACAAGUUCACUUUGCCUCGGUAUUCCUCAAAAAGACGUAUAGCUGGGCUAGCCAUUUUCAUCUUGAAAAAAUUAGUAUCUGGGCUGGAUGUCUGGCCUGGGCUAGACGGGCCACAACCCGCCUAGUUAAUACCCUGCUCUCCUCUGAAAAACAACGAAAUCAUCGCCAAGAAAAACUCUGCAGUGCUCACGCUUCAAAAAGACAAAUACUGCUUGAGCUGCUUGGUCCCAGCUGUCGGCCGCACCUUGUGCAAUUCUCUCGUUUAUAUUGACUACAUAGGUUGACAAUGGUGUGGGACCGUGAUGUCAGGAAACCAGGAGAAAGCAAAAAACAUAUAGUUGUACAUAAUAAGGAGGCACUUGCGUACGUACGGCUAUGGCCCUAGUGGGUCCCUAGUGUCAUCCAGUCAAAAUAAAGUCAUCUCCUGAAUCCUCAUGUUCGUUGACGAUGUUAACAAUGCUCGGCGCCACGGCGAGCGCAACAACUCGAAGGACAACGGAGAGGGCCUCGCGGGCCCUACGGAUGGUCUGAUACAGCGCCCGCUACUCAUUCAGGAAGCCAGGAUCAUCGGACACCUAUGAGCACCUUCGAGAAACUGAGACGGCAUGAAACGGUAAGGCCGCGCUUGGGAGCUCUGGUUUAUUUCAAACCUGUAUUAACAUACAAGUGUAAUUUACUCAUCAUCGAAAACAACGCGUAAAAUAUAGGCGUAAUGAAACCGAGGGCCCGAGGUCCAUAAGUAAAACCGGCGGGUUACGCGUGUAAUUUGAGAGACCAGUGUAUUUUAUGAGCACUGCUAUAUGGACGACAUUACCAGACGAGUGUCACCUCCAGAAGGACCAACUCUACGACCUCGCCAACUCCAGCACGUACGCACCUAUCCCCUGCGGCUCCCCUGCCUGCACGGAGCUCGGUAGCAGCCACAGCAGUGGUUGCUCCGCCGGCUCCGACCAAUGCAAGUAUAUCCUCGACUACGGCGACGACAGGGUCACCGCCGGGACAUACAUCAGCGACACGCUGAACUUGUCGCCCACCAUCGCGGUCAAGGGCUUCCGGAUCGGGUGCAGCCACGCCGUGAGGGGCACCUUCAGUGACCAGACCGCCGGCGUCCUGGCCCUCGGCGGCGGCGCCGGGUCCCUCCUUGCACAGACCGCGGAGACCUUCGGCAACGCCUUCUCCUACUGUGUCCCGCACCCGAGCUCCGAUGGAUUCCUCUCGCUGGGCGGGCCGGUGGGGAAAUCGUCGCAGUUCGCGAGCACGCCUCUGAUCAAGAACCAACACGC
rnacentral:lncRNA from 1 species